AUAUAUUAGACACUAGUGUUGAGAUGUCUGUCUGUCAUGAUAGCAUGUACUGAGUCGGGGCCAGUACCAGAUAAGAACAUUAAACUAUAAUCCAUAAACGUAAGGUAACAACCGAGACCUAAUGGUGCUGUGACAGCAACACGAUUGAGUUUGAGACAGUGAAAAUACAUAUGGUAUGUUGUAUCUGAACAGGUUAGCUUACGAGCUAAAGUUACUUAGCACAGAUGAAAGUUAAAACAAAGACGUUUAGCAAACUGUUAAAGCACACAAACCAUCGUCAUGUGAGAAAUCCGACACUAUGACUCUCCAUAAGUUGUCCUUCAGGUCUUUAUGUUUGUAAUAUUUGUGUCUUUUAUCAAAAAGCACUCUGUACUCCGACACGUAAACAAUUAGCCGGUCGGCCAUGUUGGAUAUACCGGUGAAUCUGACGUUGUAACACAAAAACACACAGUAUGCAAAACUUUAGAAAAUUCGACCGUGAUACAAAAAAAAUAAAUGCCGCAAUAUCGCAGGACGGGAAAACAUCGCAGAUGUGAACGCUUGUAUUGGUAGGAUAUGGGUUUGAAAAAAAAUAUUGAUGUCCAAAAUAAUCAUACGAAAAAAACGCUCCAGGUGUAAAAGGACCUUUAGGGUCAAGAGAUUCAGAAGUGUGAUAAUGUUCUGUAAUGUUCUAUUCGACGUACAGAGUCGACAGCCUGCGUUUGGCUUAAGCGUGUGAUGACGUUUCCAGCUUUUCUAGCCAAUCAGAGGCAAGGAAGGCGGGACUUUCCCCUACCAUCCUCCAAAAAAAAAAAAUCAGCCCGGUAAUAACCUCCCGUAAAAACUGUUGUUCAGAACUGCACCCAACAUGCUUACUUAUGCUUCCUACCUACUCGGCUACUGUAAUAACCGUUGUUUUAAUUUACACGCAACAUUUUUGUUCUCAUUCAUGAAACCCUUAGAUUGAGGAAAUUUCUGGGGACAGCUUUAGCUGGGGACAGGUCGACCAAUAUGGGAACUGUCCCCGGAAAUCGGGGACGUCUGGUCACCUUAUUGUUGACUGAAUAAUACUUAAAUAUGUCGGAGCUUUUCAAUGACAUGCAAAUAUGCGGUAACCAAGACUUCAGGACUUUGAUUUAUUUGGAUUACUAAGUACAAGUUUGAUUAAGCCGGUGAGAAGCAAAGAGAACCGACAAACUUAUAAAACUACUUUUACAACGUACAUUUUGGUUUGGGUGAUCAUACGUCCUCUUUUACCCGGACAUGUCCUCUUUUUUGGGGGCUGUAUGGCUUUGUCCGGGGAAGUUUAUAAAAUCCUUCAAAUGUCUGCGGUUUUGAACACAGGUUUUCGUGCAACUCCAUGACUCCCCCUCUGCGUAGUUGUGUCCUCUUUCUGGAAGGUCAGAAUAUGGUCACCUUAAUUCUGGUUAUUAAACACAUUUAUAGAGAUGCCGUUACUUAUAGUAUGGAAAAAAAGGCCAACUUUUGGAGAACUUUCUACUUUUCUUCUUUACUUUUCACGGCAUUGUCUCUGAUGCACUGUAUGAACAACUAAAACAGUACUGUCUCUUCAUCCGUGUAACCUUGGCAUUGCAGUUCGCCAAAUGCCGUCCUUUUUAAAACAGUUUUCAUACCAAAAACUUCCAUUUAUGCUAAUGAAAGCUAGAGACAGUAAGGAAGUCAGGUUGCGGUUGCUGUUUUUACCUUACAGAUAUCAAAUGUUGUCAAACUGUUCUCCGGAAUAACCACAACUUCCUUUUUCCUCACCGAGAGCAAGUUUGACUUGUAUAUAUCUGGUAUAAUGAUGCUGUUUCUGUGCUGAAUCAUAAAAACAGUGGAAUCCAACAACCUGAACCGACAGCUGCAUCAGUAAACCUGUGUUUUUUAGUCCUCUGACAAAUAACAGCAAUCUGAGAGUCAUUAAAAACUGUCGAACAUCAUUCUCACUUUUUUUUUUUUUUUUAACGUGCCCCUGAGCCUGGCACUUGAUCCCCUUUCGCUAUGAUUGCUGAGGACUCCGGUUAUAAUGAGCAGCUCACAUGUGAUGCUGCAACUAAGCAUUACAAGACGGGCAGGUUGCUUUCCUGACAAAAGCGAGCCUUGCUCUGUGGUGCGGAUUUGGCAGUUUAGACAGCUGUGGUAUUUGUUUGAUACGGUUUUUAUGUUCGUCAAAACCAGUGAAUGACCACAUACAACCCACGGAUGACAGCGCUGUCAUCUCACACGAAAAACACUCAUAUCUGAGCGAGCUAAAAAAGCAUCAUACGGAGUGAAGGCAAUCAUUACGAAGUCAUUCUUCACCGGGGAUUGAGUGGACAAAAGGAAGAGUUUUCAUAAAUCAUUCCUCCAUGAUAGCGAAGCUUGUCCUCUAGUUUGGCGGUUACAGUAUAUACGAUUCAGCGCCAUAAUAGAUAAGCCACAAAGGUUCCUGGAUGUCUUUGAAAGAAGUGGGAUACAGCGCUGAAAUGAAAGCAGUCCCUGGACAGGUAAUGGCUGAAGAAGAAAUAAAAGACUUCGAAAUGGAUGAUUCAUUUUGUUACAUCCUACAGAAAAAAAAAAUUCCAAAUGUCUCAGAGUGCCGCUGUUAUCUACUUUGUGUCCUCAAGGCUUUCCACACUGUGAUUAAGAAGCCUCUUAAAUCUUUUCUCCAACUUUGUACAAAUGUUUUCACCAAAGUUAAAUAUUGCUUUGAAUUCGUCCCAAAAUGGGGUCAUCCUGGGUGCCUAGCACUUGGAUAGAAAAAGAGAAAUCUCUGCAUUUGAUUAUAACUUCCUCGGAGAUAAUGAAAAAAGUCUGGGGAGCUUUUUUGUUUAUGAGAGUAUUUCAUCUAUCAAAAACAGAUAAAUGAUGCUAAAUGAAGCCAGAUGUUGACCACCAAAGUUCAUGAGGAUGGGAAGUGAUUUAAUGGCUCAUUCUCUGCCUCUCUUAGAAUUCUCUGCACAGUUCAGGGUCUCCUCAUGAUAACCCAGUUCCUUCCAAUGCCUGACUACAGAUAGGCUAGUUUAGCACCUAUUAGAAAAGAGGCUCCAAACCCUUUAAUUAUCUGCAAUAAUGGGACCAUUCUCGUUGUGUUAGCUAACCAUGCUAUGGGGACUAAUAAAGGCUUUCUCAUCUUUUAAAGGGAUAUUCUGGCGUAAAAUUAAUUUAGGGUCAAACACACCAUAACACCGAGUAAGACACCCCCCCUGAGAGAUGAAUGUUGCCGACCGCUUGCUUCUCUAGUUUUACCAACUUUAGUAACGACCGCACGAUAGCAAUACACAGCGGUCUGAGGAGCCAUAAACAAACCUCAACCAAAACACCACUCUAUAGCCACAAAUAAUACUCAGAACAGCACCUAACUUCAUCAACAGUACAUAUAGGGUCCUAGCCACAGCACUAGCCACCAAACAUCUCUUUAGCUUUGCCUGAUUUCUUUAGCAAAGAGACUAAACACAACUUACCCAUUGUCCUCCAGCAGCUGCUUGUUUGUAGCGAGACCUCAGGCCAGUCCAUUACGGACUGCAGCGGAGUUUCGCAGCUCAAGGAAGAACAUUUAUGAUCAUUACUUUAUUCCCUUUAAGUCAUAAUCACCAUAUUAAUCAUUUUGCACUGCAGACGCAGUAGUUCUUCUGCUUUAGCGUCUCGGUUUUGAUUGCAUUUUCAUGAAGGAACGAUCAUUUUCCCCUGUGUUGAUUUUCACUACAGAGUUAUGAUUUUACCAUCUUGUCCCUUUGAAGGUUUUUUUUUUUUUAAUAAUCUUUCAAAUUUUAUUGAUUCCAUGAAUGUCUUUGCAAAAUGCUUGGCAUUUUUUUAUGCUUAGGAACAUAAUUCUGAAGAUGUUGAAUUCAAGCAGGCUCUCACAAAGUGGUGAACCUUACUUCUGAGAGACCGGGUCACUCUGGAACAGUGUUUUCUAUAAAACAAAAUUGUCAAACUUGUUGCUUAUUGUCUUAUUUGCUUUUGGAUGUCACAAAAAAGUAUGUUGCAAAAAACUUAAGCAAAAAAAAAAAAGUAAAAAAGUAUAUUAUUAUAGCACUUUUAGGAGGAGACGUUUUUGUCCAUCUAAGGACCUAAACGUAAGUUUUUUUUCAAGGACCCAGGAGGGUUAAUAUGACUGGACAAUACCAUACCUAUGGAAUUGGGAAUGGGGUUUAAACAUAGUUUUAAUGCAAAAAAAAAAAAAAAAAAAAGGUUUGAAUCCAGCUCAGGGCAUUUCUGUGUGGAGUUUGCAUGUUCUCCCUGUGUCUGCGUGGGUUUACCCUGGGUACUCCGGUUUCCUCCCACAUCCCAAAAACAUGCAGAAGUUGGGUUCGGUUAAUUGUCCACCUUCAAAUUGUCCGUAGGUGUGAAUGUGAGUGUGGAUGGUUGUUCGUCUCUAUAUGUCAGCCCUGCAAUGGACUGGCGACUUGUCCAGGGUGUCCCCUGCCUUCGCCCGAAGAUGCUGGGAUAGGCUCCAGCCCCCCCGCGACCCCGGGAACGGGAAUAAGCGGUAGAAAAUGGAUGGAUGGAAAAAAAUGAACAUAGUGAAAAAUGUGAUCAAAUAGGAGCAGUAGACAGAAGUUUUAGCAAAGCAGAAUUACAGACAAGCUUGAAAUUACAGCAACAGAGAAACUAACAUGAUGGAAAAAACAUAAAGAGGAAGACUAGAAGAGUCGAUAGUAGAGCUAAAUGAGAACCAGAGCGGAACUAAGGCUGUGAGCUUUGUUAGAAAACUGCAAGAAACCACAUCUGGUGCGAAUACAAAGGUGCGUAAACGGAGAUUAAAACGGCUGCUAAAGUGUUGAUUCUGGGAAAACUCCAGGCAAAUAGUGUAACAUGUGAUCACGCUGAUUGAUUAUUGGCGCUUUACUGCUGAUCUGUCUGCAGUCUAUUUGGCCUAAAUCCACUCUUAAUCACAAUAAAAUUGUCUUUCACAGCUGGUCUCGCUCAAAGAGUGAGGACCUCCAAUAUGGCUGCCAGGGGCUUUGUUAUAUCACUUCACCGUCUGUAUGAGCAGUCUCCAGCGCUUAAAUUGUUUUCUCUCUGGCCUCCUAAUGAGGCACAUAUGGGAUACGAAGUCAAUACAAUUAGCUGCAAUUAACUAGCAGGCACUUUACACUGAUACUGAGCUUGAAUUCAACAGCUAAGACAAACUAAAAUGACCCGGAAUGCCCUAAAUGGAAGCGACUGCUCCUCCACAAGCAAUUUCCAAGACUCUAACUACUCACUUGGAGUAGGGAGAAGGCUAGAGACAUUUACACUGAGAGUCUCGGCCCUUUUUUUGAGGAGUUGUAGAGGCCAUUGUGAAGCAGAGUGAGUCCUCAUUGGUCCUUAUUAGUUCCACUAGAGAGCUCAGGAGCAGGGGCUGGUGUCGGAUUUACUAAAAAAAAAAAAGAAAAAGAAAAGGGGGAAGCCUCACUUGGAAGGAUUUCAGGCCAUUAGAUAAAACUUACAAGAUGUGGCUACAAAACAUGGAAAAUGAAGAUGAUGGUUGUAUUCAGUGUUGGGAGAAACUUUUAUUCUCAUUUUAAAUGGAUUUUUUUUCUUUCCCCGGGAUGAUUUCACCUGUUCAGAACCCAAUUAUGAUUGGAAAACACAGAAAUCUAUGGUAAUGGCGUUUGCAGGGUUUCUGUGGGUAAUGGACUGCUUCAUCAUCAGCGGACUAAAAAGGAAGUAUAAUGAGACACGUAAUAACAUGUUUUUCAAAUCUAAAAGUGAGGACCUUUAGUAUCUGAAAAUAAACACUGUUAGGGACCUUUGUAACUGAAAAAGAUUAUCUCUAUUUGUAAUGGUAAAUUAAUUUUUCAUUACCUUUACAGUGAUGCUUUCAAAGUGAGCAAAUCAAACGGUGACAUUCAAGUCCAUCUGCCAGUCCUAUAACCGUUCUUAAUUAGAGAUUAAAGCCCCUUUGAGGAACUUUUUACAAGGUUAUCAAGUAGACUAGAAUUAAAAUUGAUACGUCUGCACAAACAAGACCAUCACAUGCACAAAGCGUCCUCAUAAUUCUGUCACAUUGUUGGGCAAGUUACGGAAAGUAGGGCUGUCACGAUAUCAGAUUUAAUGAUAUUAUUGCAAUAUUUAUGGUACCAACACUUUUUUGGGAAGACAAAUGUUUGUUUUGCAUUUAGUUGAUUUAAUCGAGCUUUGGUUUCAGAUGCUUUAUUUCUACGAUUGAUCCUAAGUUAAAGGCCUGAAUGAAAACAGUAGAAAUAAAAAACAGUACCCUUGACAAGUAACCCAGAGGGGCAGUAGCUUUGUUGUUUUUGGAUUCAAAUAAUCAAUGUCAAUCAAUAAUCAAUGUCUCUGUUUUCCUCCCCAACCCAGCAGUGGCCUGGUGGCUGUCUAGCAUGAGUCUGGUUCUACCCAAGGUUUCUGCCUGUUAAGAGGAAGCUUUUCCUUGCAACUGCUACUCAUGUUAGAUGAGAUGGGCCAAAUCCCAUCUUAGGUUGGGUCUUGAUAAUUCAUCAACCAAUGAGCUUGGUCUAGACCUGCUCUUGUUCUUUGGAAAGCGUCUUGGGAUGACGACUGUUGUGAAUUGAUGCUAUAUAAAUACAAUUUUAUUGAUUGAUUUGAUUGAUGUUUAAUAUUAGUCCUGAAUCGUCUCGAAGGGCCACAGGUAGCUCGCCACCAGCUGGUUGACGUAACAAUUCCGAGAUGGCGCCUCCCAUCACUGGACCUCUUUUUCUCUGAAAACCAAUGAGUUGGUGUGAGGGACUUCGCGGAAAGAUGGCAGAGGUUCAGUCAAGACUAUUUGCGCCAAUGAAAAUUAUCAUUUGAAUACUUCAACAACAAUACAACAAUACUUCUAACAAUAGCAAGAUCAAUUUCCAAAUAGAGGCACAGAAGGUAAAUAAGCUGGACCAACUGAUGUACCGCAGGCGGAUUUUGGCCUGCCUGAACUAUCUCUAUCCCCAAUUCAAUGCAGUUUAGUGGAGUCUAUAAUAAAAACACCUCAGGCACAUUGGUGUUGUUGUGUCUGUGGGAAUAGUCAGGGGAUCCUACAAUGAAAGUUGGGCUUCUGCCUAUUCAAAUUAAAACCUGAGCUUACAUAAGAGUCUUUGUCUAAACAGGAGCAUGAGUCUGAAUUAGCAGGGCUACUUUUGGGAAUAUUAUGUAAAAAAAUAUAUUAUAUCACAAGGAGAUCCCAAAACUGAAGAAGCUGAGCACAAAGCUUUCACAAACCAGCAGAGACAGAGUGAAUAUGAAUCAGACGGUGAAUACCUGGAGGUCUUUUUUGUGUGUUGAGAUCAGUUUGCAUCAAAAGCUCAAAAGGUCAUCGCCAGCUCAGCAACGGCAGGAUUCUUCUGCCGUGAAAUGUGAAUAAAACAUCAAUAAAAACACUGUUUAAUUGAAAAAGUGAUAUCAUAGAUUUAAAAUGCUUUCAGCAAUAUUAGAAAAAGACGAGGCGUACACGAGUCAAGGUUGUAGUUCUUUUUAAAUAAAAGCCUUUUAAGUAAACUCUUUGGUUAUGUCAUGCUACUCAGUGGGGAUUAAGCAAACGCAGUUGACUCCACUCAUUGUUUUGUCAUUUAUAGUCUCCCUAUGUUAAAGCAUAUCCUCUCCGUUACAAGGCUGCAUCUCCACCACAACAAGCUAUUAAGAUCUGUUAAAAGUAAUGAAUGUUGUCAUUGUAGUUAAUGGCAUAAAAGCGCACAUAGAUAUGAUCUUUAAAAUAGCAUUAAGUGUCAUUUUGUAUCCCAUCAUACUGUUAGCUGGUGCAGCUUUUCCAUUAAAGGGAAACACAAAUCACUUUUUAUUCAGAAGUGCACUCCAUUUCCCUCCAGUGAGUUUUUCUUUCACUAUGAAAAGGAUAAGCUGUAGUGCCUUGCGCAUGGACACAUUAUAGAAAAUUCUAUAGAGUGGAAAUUAUCAAAAUACUUGAAAAAAACAAUUUAAAAUGCAGUUAGAGGAUUCAAAGUGUUUUUCGCCCAAACAGACUGAAGUGACCUCAGUCUUUUAAUGAAAUACCUUUCAGUAGAGUUUCCGUGGUAUGACUCUGAAAGCCCUUUGACAGUAAAUUCCACCUCAAACUUUACAAGUCAACACUAAAGUUUGACUAACAGAAUGUCAAGGUUUUACUAUUGUGCUCCAGUUUAGAGAGGCUUCACUUGCAAAUGUCAACCAUGACAAAAACAAGAUCCUGAAUAGAGAGAGACCAAUGGCUUUACAAAUCUAAAACUGCAAUCAGACGGCCAGUGUAAGCAGAUGUUGAAGUGAGAAAGUGCAUAAACCCCCCAAACACAACGUAGAUAGCUUGAGUUAUACUGUAAUGUCUCUUGGGGAUGUUUUUUAGGGUUGUAAAGUGAAUUAAAUGGAAAUUUCAACUUACAAACGUGUCCCAAGCUUUGUAAACCUCAACUCCUUACCAAAUAUGGCCUGGCCAGACUGGAUCUCCCAUCUUUAAUCCACUGAAACAUGCCUGGCUAGUUUAGUCCUUAUAUAAGAGAGUUGGAAGCUUCAAUGUUCUCUCUAGACUUGUGUUUGCACAGCUAUUUCUACCACUUCUCCCUGUGUACAAACAAUAUAAAUGCCUUCCAGGGAUGACUGUCUAAAAUGUGCACCGAGCACAUAUUGAAAUGAUCUGAUCACAUCUGGCCUCUGCCUAUGACGGACAGCUUUUCACUCUGCCUCAGAGUGCAGCUGCUCGAGAACAGCUGGUCCCUCAAGCCUCUCAAAAAAAAGGUCAAACCGCACUUCGCUCGAACUGGUUCUUUGUCUCUUUUCUACACUCACGUCGAAACAAAUACUGUAAAUGUGAAAGUGAAUGAUUUCAGCAACUGCUUGACUUUUUUACAGUUUACAUUACAGCGUGUCAGCACUUUGAGACAACAUAACAAGGAACAAUGACAGGUUAGAUGGAGGAUAGAUGUGAGUGCAGAGUUAGGAUUUGCAUUAAAGUGAUUUUUCUUUAAGAGGAGGGGGAAAGCUACAGAGGGCAAGAGUGGAAGAUUUAUCAGCACUAGAAAAAAGCCAAUUUGGAUGUUUUAACUAAAACCAAGUGGUGACCUCCAGUAAUGAAAAGUGAAGCCCUCGAGGAUCCACUUGAGACUGGCUCCAAAAGCCACUGGAGCGCCAUUAGAGACCAUGAUCUGAUGUCCAUUUUUACAGCAGAAUUUGACACGUUUAAAACCAGAUUGACUCAUUGGUUUCGUGACAAAGCUUUACUGGGGAUUGAGACGUUCCAGAGCUGGGAAUGACGUUACACCCGAGUUGACGGCGAUCCAGUAAACAAGUCCGAAGACCAAGAUGGAUGCCUACAGUUACUCGUUGUUAGCUGUUGUUGGUUGUUGUCAGUCGUUGUUAGUGGUACCAAUUGUACACAAUGCACAACUUAGUAUUUUAUGCGACAACACCAUAGCACCGAGUUCACAGUUAGACGCUGGGCGGCACAACAAAUACCACUUAUUUAAUUUCACAAAAACAAAACAGAAGUGCUAAUAAAUAAUACGUUGCGAUAGCUUUAACGGUUACUCUUCACUGUUGAUGCACUGCGUUGACAUCUUGAAUUAUGACGUUGUCUGAGUACAACUAGAACACAGCAUAAGUCCAUUUGGAAUCAGAUAUAUUCCUACGUGGCUUAACUGACAAACAACUGGCUAAUUCCAGAUUAGUCUGGAAUAGACCAGAUUCCUAUGGUGGCUAUCUUUUUGUGACGCCAUACUCGCGGUGGGGAGCUUUCAGAUUUGUAUCAUGAAGUAUUACAGUGUUCCUGGUCUUAACAGUGGUCAUUUCCCCACCACAAAAACUAUAGUUCGAUCUAUGUAUAGAUUUUCACAUGAAUCCUUCAAAGUGGCCAGAACCAGCAAAAGGAAGCUAUCCAUCUCUGUGUUGAUUGCAUGUUGUGAAAUACUGGCGAAAAUGAGGGACUAUGGAGGAUGGAAGUCAGCAGGAGCGACUGCUUUACCGGGUUGAGACAGCUGAUGUGGAUUCCUCAUGGUAGCUCCUAACGAGAGCCCCCGCAGGCUGGAAGCCCCCGGCAAUGCUUCAAGGUGACUCAAUUUAUCCUAAAGUGCUAUACAUAAGGACCACCUUGAGGAUGUUAAUGAUAGAAAAAGAGCGAGAACUCUAAUGUUUCAUACAUGGAGAUCUCCAUAUUUUAAAAGAACAGGCUGAGGAUGUGGUGUUGAUUCUGUAUGAAUGUUUCAAAACCCCCACUGUGGAGGCGGUGGGAGUCCACGAGGUGAGAAGGCAAAAUCACGGCUCAAGUUCUGCUUUCUGAAUCCCUGAACAAUCUGGGAAAACUUGGGCAUGGAAAAUGAAUGAGACAUGCUCACUCUGGCUUGAAGUUAACAUCUGGGAUGGGUGCCUGGUUGCCUGAAAUAAUUUGUAAAAUGAACAUGAUGUCUUGAAAUGAUGCUGGUACAUGCUUUACCGAGAAAUCAAGAUACAAAAACAUGUUUCUGGUGUAAAAAGUUUAUGAGGGACAUGGAGGAAGCAAAAUCAAGAACAAAAAGAAGAGCUUGGCAUGUCUAUUUUGCCUCUGAGGUAGUCCGAGUCAAGAACUUUGAGCAAGUGAUGUUAUUUAGUUUCCUGGAUUUGUUCUAGCGUUUUGGUUCUGCCAAAUUCUUCCAUUUGGCAAAGUCCACAACAUGCAAAUCCUGUACCUCUGUAGCUCUCUCGAGCAGACUAAUAUGAACAAAUGCAGAGGUGGAAUAACACUGAAAUGGACUUGGCGAGUGCUCCAGAAGGGCACACUGUCACUUUUUAUUACAUUGUAUAUACUGGAAGGGCAUCCAGGUGGCACUGUUAGAACUUUUGAUCGACUGGGAGAGCUUUUGGAGGUCACUUUUUAUUAUUGCACUUGAAGGGCAUUUAGAGGGCAGCUUCUAUCCUAAAAGAUGGCAUCCAGGCAGCACUUUAUUUAGAUUUUAUCCACAGGAAGAGUAUGCAGAGGGCAUUUUUUUGUGUUUCAUACACCGGAGGGGCAUCUAGAUGUUAAUAUUUCUACUUUUUAUCCACUGAGAGGGCAUCCAGUAGGCAGAUAGUAUUUACUGGAAAAGUACUUUAUAUGCUUGAUUAAAUCAAAGGGCAUCCAGAGGUUACUACGACUACUUUAUGUGACAUCCAAAGGGCAUUUGCAUUGGUUGUCUGGCUUUAACCUCUGACAUCUUGGUUGCAACACUAAAGCAAGUGGCUUCGAAGAUAGUGGUAUAGAUAGAAAGUUGGAGUGGGUGUGGUUUUGUAUGCUUGCCCAUGCAAAUCUCUCCUGUCAUUACACAACUAAAUUAUCUCAUUUGAAUAACUAAGGUUAAGGAUUUACGGUUCAACACCCAGAGAGCUGCUGUGCCAAAUAAUGGGUGCAGCGUAUUUGUGGUAAAGGGAAGAAAAAUGUCUUUUUUUAAUUAUUGUAUGACACCUUUACAUGCAUGAUUAUGACCUAAUGAGGGGAAACAGCAGAGUACCAUUUGUCUGGUCCCCAUUACACUGUCUGUGGGUGCCUUGUGCAGCAAAACGCCAACUAGAAAUGAAUGGGGUGAAUUUUCAGUGGGGUCCAGGUUGCACAAUAGAUGAUGGUGGCAGUUGCACCCCCACUCAGGACAAAUUGUGUCUGUGAUGAAGCUUUGGCCAGAUUUUAUCACUAACUUCUGGGUAAAAUAUGGAUGCACUUCCUACCUUUAUGUCCCAUUCCGACUCUAAUACCCGUUCUAAAAUAUCUGCUGAUGUUGAGUAUCCCUCAGCGCUGGCAGAGUUUAAAGGAUUAUAUUCCAUUAGUAUGUAUCACCUAUUGGUUUCAAAUAUGGCUGUUAAAGGUUAACUUUGUCCCUCUGUUACCUUGAAUUAAUCUCGGUGACCAUAGAUUGAAGUGGUAAAAGAAAAACAAAAAGUAAUUCAUUGCUAUGAAUCAAUUUAAUUAACCUUGUGGCCGAGACAUGAAUAAAAACCCACAUGUUCUUGAAAAUGAUAGAUUAUGUCUGUCAGUGCAGUGACUUAUCUUGGGAGGUUGUUUUUAAUGGAUGUUGGAAAACAAUACAAAGCUUAUGACCUUUAGGAGGCAAACCUUUUGUUGUUCUCGGCAAUAUGGGAACUAUACUGCAGGCUGUACUUUUUUAUGUGUUGUAUUAUUCAAUGAGGGGGAAACAGUGGUAUCAUCACAUUUAGAGGAGUGUCUGCGGUAACCUGAAGUCAACCCCAAUCCUAACUGAGGUUGUUUUUCUGGCUGACUCACCUUAACGCCGGUGUGCAUCCAAUUUAAGAAACUGUAUUGUCUUAAUAUCUGUUUGUUUAUAGUUUGUAGAACUUUCUGUCUGUGCUGAUAUUUUCUCUGAUAAUACCAAACUGCGCAGGGAUCAUAAUUGGUUUGAUAUGACUAUUAACCUACAGUCUAGACUCCUAAUCCAUAAAUAUAUUCAAUCCAAUCAAUCAGGAUACCCUUUUGGGGUUGGUUUUGUUUUGAGGUAUUAUACAGGAAAUGUCUGGUUAUACUUCCUAAAUAAAGGACAUUUGUUUAGAAUUGAAAAAGGUUUAAAUAACCUCUACAAUACCUUCAUACAAAUCUUUGAUUAAACUUUGAAUUACAACUAGAAAAGCACUCGGAGAGCGCAGACCUCCGCCAAGCAGCUCAUGUCCCCCCUUAUAUUGUGAUUCACACCAAAACUUUUACUGUUACGUGUCUUUUAUUAACUUUUAUUUGUGUUUAAACUGGUAUGUUCACUGUUCAUAAAACAAGAAACGCCCUGACCCGGAUUCGAACCCAGGACCUUCUUGCUGUGAGGUGACAGUGCUAACCACUACACCACUGUGCCACCCAUUGGUUAUCUUUCAGCAUUGAAAAUUCCAACGACACCCUUAUUUUUGUGUGUUCUAGAUCACAGUAUCCGGAGUUUUGUCUGGAUCAGGAUCAACCUUUGACACCUCAUAAAACUUCCUUUUGUGUAUUUUUUAACUAAAGACUCUGGACAUUUUUAUAGAGUUAAAUGCACAAUGAUAAAGAAUCCUUUAAAAAAUUCCUGGAUCCAGAAGGCGAUCCGGAUCACCACCAGAUGCACCUCUGGUGAAAAUUUCAGGUCAAUCCGUCUGUAACUUUCUCCGUAAAGUUGGUAACAGACAAACAGACAAACAAACAAACCAACGCUACAGAAAACAUAACCUCCUUGGCGGAGGUAAUAAUACUGGAGGACAAACAUGGCUGUGGUUUGAUCAAACUACUCAGCACUUCUCUUGUGUAACUAUGCUACUAUAUCUGCAAUGGAUAACUUGGGUCAAGAUAAAAUUAUAUGAUAUAGCAAACUCAAGAUAAACACAAGAUUAUCGUGUGUUUAAGCAAGAUAACUUAUUGUCAGGGCAAUAUUUUGUGCUCAUAAUGUCAUUUCCUUAUGCCACUUGUAAAUAUAGUUUGCACACAACAUGAAAAUCGCGUUGUAUUUGCAGUGUGUUUCAUAUUUAUUAGUUGUAGCAUUGCACACAAUGCCACGUGCAUUCAUUUGUUUUGUUGCAUUUGUUUUGGGAUUUUAAAUGCGCUCAGAAAGUUGCAUUGCCUCUGUUCUUGCAGAUUGGGAAGCUAAUUUGGCCACCCCCUUUGUUACCUGAUGGGGAAAACAAGCAUGCUUUUAUGUUUUUACUGGUUUUUGCGCUGCAGAUUAUACGGCGCACUGUGAAUUGCCGUGUCUGUGUUUACACAUAAGGCGCACCGGAUUGUAAGGUGCAUUAAGCAUUGAUUGGUUUAUUGUUGCUAGUGCGUACUUCAGGCCCCGGCUGCCUUACAUGAAUGCACUUUUCGUUUAGACAUGACAGUCAGGCAGUGUUGUAGACUGCUCAGGGGUCCUGUUACGGGGCCGAUCAGGUAGUGACCGUAUCCAUUGAGCAAAGUGGCUUCAUGCUUUUAAAAGUCGUACAUGUAUGUCGUGUAUGUAUACACAUUUCGACAGAUUUUUUAGCACACUGUACCACAUAAAAUCAGUCAGUAAGCACAACAUGUCAUCAUACGUAAGGCGCGCUGGAUUAUAAAGGCACACUGCCAAUUUUUGAGGAAAUCUAAGGAUUUUAAGUGCGCCUUAUAGUCCGAAAAAUACAGUACAUUUCAUACAUCUGAGUUAUCUUCCAAAACAAGUCAGAAAUGACCGAGGAACUAAAUCUUCUGGAUGGUAUUAAUUGGACCCAUCAGACAACCAUGGUAGCUACAGCCUCAUAUUUCGAAGCUCCAGGACUCUGCCGAGCUGCCUUAUUUGAAAAUUUGAAAAAGAAGACCAGUCCAGCUUUUACUCGCCCGAAUGAAGUGACUUACAGUCAUUAAAAGUCAUGCUGUAAGCACCAUGUGUCAUUAUCUACCCCCCACGCUGCCUUUCGUCAUGCACAUUGUAAUGCUUGAACACAUCACAGGGAACGUACUGUAUGUGCGUGUGUGGUAAAGAGCGAGCCCAGGAAUGUUAUAUAUAAAAUAGCAAUGAAUAGACAGCUGGCUGACAGUUCCCCACAUCAAGGCUCAGGCAUGAAACUGCAGCUCCAAAUGAGCUAUCGCUGCCUGGUGGCCCUGCCAUGUUCGGCAAGAAGAGGGAGAGAAAAAAAAAGCUGUGUUUCAUAUGAGUGCUGACAGCUCCCCAGAUAGACCAAGGUUAAAGCGGUGUUAAAGGGACUUUUUGGGAGGGGUUUCUAAAUCUUUGAUCAGGAUGAAAUAGCAUUUUAAGGUAGCCAGAACCUUGGGAGUAAUUGCCGAUUGAAAAAUUGAUUAUUUGAAACAUUGAAGUCGUAGUGCUAUUACUGUACGACUGAGGAUUGAGAGUGGCUAAUGUCUCUCCUGGGCCUUAAAUACCACAGAUGUGCUCUAAAGCACUUCACUGCCUCACUGAAGGACACAAUUCAUCUCUGAAUGGAAAAGAGCAGAUGAUUUGAUCCUUAAAGAUAUUAUGCGGUAAAAGCAAAGCAUGAUUUUCCUGGACUUUCCCAGCAUUGGGGUUUAAUUAUAGACCAGAACCAGCCCUCAGGUUGAUUUGUCAGCCCAUCAUAAAGGUUAACAAUAACUCCUGACUCAAGGUUUUUUUGGUCUUGUAGGUUCAAAUGCUUCAGGCAAGGUCACAUAAAACUUAUCAUAUAACCCGAUUCACAGAGAGGAGAUUUAGAAAAUUUCAAACAGUUUCCAAGAAUUUGAAGAUUUCACUCAGAUGGAAGGUUUAUCGAAUCCUCUAUCGCAGAUUUUCCUAAUAAACAGGAACUGAUUGCUUUCAAAGGCACUUUCUUAUUGCUCUUGCCCCCCAGAAAAGUGGAAAGAACUGACUGUUCAGGCUACAGUGCAUUACAAACAUGCAUGAAUCUGUGGUGGAAAUUACCACAUGGGUACAUAAUCACUUGCAAAACUAUUUUCUAUGGACACAGUUUAUCAUUAAAUCCAUAAAUGCAGGUUCGUCUGGAUCUUCUACAAUCUUGAGUUUGAUCAGGAUUAAAGUGCACAGUGAAGCACAACAUCGAGACCUUUCACCACUCACCAUAGGUGAACAAGACAUAGAGUACGUUCAGAACUUCACAUACCCCAGAAGCAACAUCUCAAAUACUGGAGACGUGGAGAAAGAUGUACAGACCAGAAUUGGCAAAACUGCAGGAGUCUUCCAAAGACUCUGGAACAUCUGGUCAUCGAAAUCCAUCACCACGGCCACAAAGCUAUGCCUCUAUAUGCCAGUGGUCAUCCCUACAGCGACCUACGCCUGUGAGAUGUGGACGGAGACAGACAGCAUCACCAACAAGUUGGAUGUCCUCCAACCACGGUGCCUCGGAUCCAUCCUAAAGAUAUCAUGGAGAGACCACAUCACCAGUGAGGAGGUGAUGAGAAGGUCAGGUGUAGCACCCUUGUCUGACAUCGUCGCUGAUAGGAGAAAGAGAAUGAAUGGACAUGUACUCUGACUGCCAAGAGAGAGACCGGCAUGUGCCAAGGAAACAGCCAAGGAAGACCUGAGCAAGAUGGGAGUCAGCUGGCAUGGAGCAAGAAGGGUCGCUAGGGACUGGAGCAAAUGGAGGGGACUCAUUGUCCAAUGUUCGAAUAGGAACGGGAGGAACUAAGUCUAAGUAAGUGAGUAAGAAGCCCUGUGCAGCAGAGACUUGAAGAUUUUCAUGGUUCGAUCCCAAAAUCAGAUAGCAAACUGCACAGAGCUGCAACACUCCAGAGAGCUUGGGAUCUGGCCCUCAGGUGUAGCAAAGGAUUUUUUUUUUGUAAACGUUGCUUGAGUGAAACAGGUCUUUGAGUAAGGGUUUAUUCUGAAUUUUUACCUAUGAAUUUACCAGUCUAAACUAGGGACUGGAUAAACACCUAAGCACAUGAGUCAUUCAAGCUCUUCUUCAGUGACGUCGCCGCCAAUUACACAUUUCAAAAGCCUCGACAGGAAAUCAAUGGUUUGCAGAGUGAAGUAUGGCUAACAACAGGUUCCUCCUAAUUGAAAGAGGCACAGCUGUGCAAUGCUACACCGAGGGCUCCUGCCGCACACUCACACCCCAAUUUGCUUGGGAUUGUUACCGCUGUGGAUAAUCAGCCUUUAGAUGAGCUGUUUCAGCAGAGCUUAUGCAUUUGAAUAUGGUAAUGAAGUCACCAGAGGGGGGCUGUAAUAAGAGCAGUAAUCGAUAAGGCAAUUUAAGCUAAACAGUGGAGUUAAUCUUUUGUUACACGUUUGACACAGGUAAUGAGUCACUGCUAUUGAGGAGAAGGGUGUAAUAGAUGGCUUUACCAAACAUUUCAAAUGAGAAACUAAUUAGCCACUGGCUGUUUCUCUUUUUGUUGCAGAAUAAUUGCUGUGCAGAGGAGUGUAAUCAGGAAGCACAUGCUUAUAUUUGCUCGGAAAGGGCAAUGUGUGCUAUUUAAGGAGUGUAUUGCAUGUCAGUGUCACAGAGAACAAACAAAUGAAGGAUGAUAAAGGGCUAUAGUACAAUAGACUUAUAAGAAUGGGGCAAAUUUACAGUAUACCACUCAUACAGUAUGUUUCCUGAGAGGGGUGGUAGGAUCAUUGUUAUUGAUAGAGAUCGGGUUCCUGCAUGUACCACCAACUGUAAGAUGCAGGUCGUCUUGGCUCUACUCAGUUUCUCAAAGCCAAGAUCCAGUCUGGGAUCCACGCCAAAGACGUCCAGGGUAUGUUCACCUUAAUCUGAUUGGCAUAGGUCCAGCUGUUGAAGUGUGGAGGUCUAGGGUCUCUAUGCCAAUAUGUCUAAAAGACACUGGGUUGCAAGUCUGUGCCUGCAGAAUGUAACUCAUGUUGGGUUGCAUGUCGUAUUCACUGUAAUGUUGUAAUAAUAUAUGGUAUCUGACUUGGAGCAGAAAGCAAACUUAUGUAAUGAAAUUGUGAAGAUCUGUGCAUAUAGCCCACUGCUUUUGUGAGUACGGUACAUCCUCUGGGCACACAUCUCAACAAGGAGAUUUUGACUAACUUGGGGGACAUAUUGAAAACUAGCCAACUAAUCUGUGGGUAUAUCUGAUAGUUUCCCCAAGCGCCAUCUCUAUCUCCAUUCCAGAUGAUCGCUCUCGUGGUUUACUUUAAUAGCACUUAGCUUCUCUUAGCUUCACUUUCUAACAAAAGUCUCCCCGGUCUCCUGCUUCUCCUGCUCGCUUCUGCUCGGUGUGUCAAAUGUUAAGUUACUCCUCAUCCUCCUUAGACAAUAACGAUACCUGCUUCAAGUGUAGUUUAUUCUUAACUCUGUAGGCGAGGAUUACUGAGCUGCAAAAGCGGUAGCGGUAGCUAGCAAGGACCCGGUAGCCAGUGCAGGUCGACCUAGCUUAGCUUCCCCCCCGGCAGAUCCCGAGCAGCCAGGAUGUAGUAGUGGUUGGGUUCCUGUAAAAGGGAAGCAUGGCAGCAGGCCUAAGAAGCCCAUGUUUGACCACCAUAUUCACAUUUCGAACAAAUUUGCCCCUCUCAGCAACACACCUGCUGAGCCCGAUGCUCUUGUUAUUGGAGACUCUCUCUGACACACGCUCAAGCCAAACGCGGGCUGUUGGCUCUGCACAUCAAACAGAACAUUAUCGCACUUCUGAAUCUCCUAACCCAAACCCUAAUCCUAAUCCUAACUUGACAGACGAUGACGUUUCAUAGUCAUAAGGAAUAACCAAUCAGAGCUCAACACUUAUAGCCAAUCAGAGGCGAAGGAGGGCGGGACCUUCCAUUACCAUCCCACAAAAGAAAAUUUGCUUCCAGGGGCCAGAGCUGGCGACAUUUAAGGUAGUUUGAAACUGCUGGCAAAGUCUAAAUGUAAAUUGACUUCCCGGCGUACUCUCGGCGCCGGGCAGUCAUUAACGCCGACCUAUUGUGAAUCUAUCAUUCAAACUGGAACUUUGCAUCUACCCUCUGGGCACCAUACAUGUCUCUUUUGAGUUUUUUUUUUUCAUCCCUCCACUUGAAUUGCUGAUAUUUGAAAGAAAUUGGUAAACAUAAUGCCAAAUUAGCCAACUAUUCAAAUUCAAGGAGUUAGGAUUCAUCUUCUGGGCGACAUGAAUGUCUGAAGGGAACUUUGUGUAUCCAAUCCAUGAGACCUUGUGAUAUUUGACUAAAUAAAUACUGAUAUGGAGGGAUCACCAACUACUUUGUGAUCAGUAUACAUCCUAUGGGCACCAUGAAUGUCUCUUUAUUUGCGUCUCUCGACUAAAAAUGUUGUCAAGUCAUCCUAUGGGCACCAAGAAUAUCUUCCACAAGACAUUGUUAUGACAACUUAUUACUUUUUGGGUGUAUCCUCUUAGCACCAUGAAUUACUCUGUUGUGAUAUUCAGCUAGAUUGGUUGAGAUUUUGUCAGUUUAGACGAGUACUUUGUUGACUUCUUUACUGGGCUCUUCCUCAGGGGACUGUCAUGAGGCAGAGUUGAACAAUAAAAAAAGAAGCCAAAGAUCAUUAUGAAUAGACUGACAUGCACACACUUAGACACACAAUGAACCAACAAGGACAGAGGGGAAGACAGGGACUAUAUACACACUGGUUAACGAGCAACAGGUGAGGCAAACGAGACACAGGUGAGGCUAACGAGCAACAGGUGAAACUCACGGGGGAUUAACGAAGGAGGGAAAACCCGGCAAGUAAAACACAAGGAAUCAACUACUGCAAAAUAGAAUAGGGAACAUUGAUAUUGAUAUAAAGAAAACUAGUCACAGAAAAUACAAUCCGAACAUAUCAUGACAGGGACCAUGAAAGUAAAACUCACUUACCAUUCCUUAGCAUCAUUUUUAGUCAUGAGAUUGUGAUAAUUAGAGCUUUUUAGUUGAUUUAAAAGCAGAUUUUUCUCGCUGAAAUCUUCACUUGUACUUCCUGACUCUUAAUUAGUUAGUUUGAUCGGUCACAUAUGCACUGUUCUGCCUGCUUUUUUCCGUAAAUCACACAAUAAGCGCCGACACAGAAGCUCAGCUGUGUCUCUUUCCUGAUUAUGUCCAUUCAAGCUUGAUGUCAGAACAAAUCAAAUCCCCCGGGGGCAAGCUUUCACUUCCUUUAUGCUGAAAUAAAUUAAGAGGCAAGAGGAGAAUUAAAGAAAAUGACAUUUUCCCUGAUUUAUGCUCUAUUAUGUUUUAAGAGGCUGACAACCUGAAACUAGGAUUUAGACGAGGACAAUAAUCCCAGCCUUGUGGAAAUUAUUUCCUUCUCGACUUUGGGCUGUAUCAUCAAAGCAGAAGUGCAAAUGCAUGCCAUAAAAGUUAAAUCAAAUGCUUUCAGAGAGGCUUUACCACUUGAUUCUGAUUCAUUAUCUUGUCUGGUUGAAUGUGUACGUGUGCACGCGAGCGUACGAGGGUGUUUUGCAGAGCAGUAGAUGUCGCUGGGACUCAGCUUUGUGUGGGCUGACAGAGGCUAAGGGUCCCAUUGUGGCACGUUAAAAGCCAGGUUAAUGCUUUCCACGCAUAAUCUGAAAGCCGGGGCAGCAGCAGUACAUCUCCUCUCAUUUAAAUCUCACUUGCUUGUGUAACAUCUUUUAUUCCUUGAGUGGCAGCUCACCCUUGUUUUGUUUUGUUGGUUUUUUUUCAGCCGCUGCUUCACACUUCAUUCGCAGUGAUAAGCAUGUUCUGUCUUGCUGCAUCAGGAAGUUUACCCCGUCUGCUUCUGAGAUGUGCUCUCACCACUUCCAGGUACUGCGGCGGAGGGAGAGGAUCCUCAUUGACUGCCGCAUUGAUUUUGAAUUAGCACCACAGUGUCUGCCUUCUGCAUUAGGAGUUCAUUCAGAUAACGAUGUGGAAAAAAACUCAGCGGGCACUGAUUAAAAUUGAUGCUUGUUGUGAGCAAGGAAAAAUGCAUGUUUCAUGUCUUUUCAGCAGGCAGAUUUACAACACCGGUCUUAAAUCCCUCUGAGGCUAACUCCUAUGAGGUAAAGUACUUGCAGACAGGCUUUACUAUUUAAGCCAUCAGUGGAAAUCCGAGCAGGCUGUUUUUAUUCUCCCUUGGAAAUUUUGAUCCUCUUGUCUGGUUGCGUUUUUUCUCCUUUGUUUAACAGAAUUUUUAAAGUUCAGUUGCGUUUAAUCGACAUCAACUCUCCAUUUUCAUUGGAUUUUACUGACCUCACAACAAAUCUGCAUUUCUCCACCAAACUAAACUUGAUUCAGGCCUUGUUAAAACUACUAAGCUACAUGUGAUCUGGUUAAACACAUGCAGUACGAGACUCAUCCCCCUAAAGGCGCCACAGAGCGUCACAGGAAGUCAUUCUUGCCGGUGGCCAUCAUCAAACUUUAUAACUCCUCCCUCUUAGUGUCCCUGGACUUAUGCUGCGUUCGAGUUACCUCGGAAGUCAGAAGUCCAACCUGGGAAUGACGUCACACCUAAGUAACUAGAGUUCCAGUUACCAAGUCGGAAGAAAGCAAAAUCAGAGGUGGAAACAAGAUGGCUACAUCUACAAAAGUUAUUUUAGCGCUUGCCUUGUCCUUGCUCAUAUUCGGUAAAGGCAAGCGCCAAAAUAACUUUCGUAGAUGUAGCCAUCUUGCUUCUGCCUCCGAUUUUGCUUUCUUCCGACUCGGUACCUGAAACACUAGUAACUUGGGUGUGAUGACAUCUGACUUCCAAGGUAACUCGAACGCAGCAUAAAUCUAAUAAAGUAAUUGCCCACUGAGCAUUUUUUGGUCUGAAAGAGGUCGAAUAGAUGUCUAAAUGUAGCCUAGACGACUGGUCUAAAAUCAGGCUACCACAGGUCUAGAAAUAAAAGUUUUUUUUAGACGUCUAACUUAGACCAAGUUUAGACUAGCCAGCUAACAGAGGUCUACUCUGUAUCAUAAUACAGUAAUACACUAUCAUAAUUAUUUUGGUUAGGGUUAGUAAGUACUUGUUGCUUUUUUAAAUAAAUAUUUAUUGAAUAAUGCGUUAAAUUGCAACGCCUAAAUUCCAUCUAAAAAUAUACAGAAUCUAGACGGUUGAAAUUUGAUCUAAAAGAAAAACUAGACGUCCUUUAGCCGUCUAUUCCUCGGAAGGUGGUAGCUUCUGUACUGAACAUGUGCAAACUGUUUGUAAACCGGUCAAUAAUCUAACAGGAAAAACCCACAGGAUCUGGAACGGCUCUGCUCCGCUCCGGCACGGCAGGCGGAUCAAAAACGCAAGCAUUAUAAUCAAUGUGUGUCAUUCCACAGAAUCUGUCCGCUGUCUGGCUCCACUGCAGAUCGGCUCUAGCAACCAGGAUCAGAUACGCAAGGGUUCUAUUUGUGCCGGACACCAGAGCACGGCGCAUCAAUUCAGUGCAGCGCAGCACGAGCAGCAGCAGAAGUUGUAUGUGGUUACAGAGUAAAAUAUCUGGUUAAUUUUCAAAAUAAAAUAAAGUCAAUACACUGAACUGUUGUUAAUUUGAUAAUCGGAGAGGCCAGGGUUAUGGGAUGUGGGUGUUUAUAUACACCGCCGUUGAUAUUCACCAUUUGGUGCAUCUCAUUCUAUGACUCCCGGGAAAAUACACACAAGCUCGUGAGAUCGCGUCCAGUCUCGCGAGAAAUAUCUGUAAUAUCGCGAGCGCUUCUCCUUUGAUGGCGGCGGCGGAUUGGAUCCAGUGGGCGCAGUAUGUUUGCAGAUCUGAUCCACCUGCUGGUCUGGAGCAGAGCGAAGUCGUUCCGAAUCUAGUGGGAUAUCCGGGUAAGAGAUCAGUUUUGUUUAGACUUCCUGUUUUUUUCUUAAAACAUUCUAACACUAAUUCUUAUAUUCUGCCCUGUUUUUCUUGCCUUUUUUAUUCAUAUUCAUUCCUUUUUCUAUUCUCCAUCUGUUAAUAUUUGUAUUUUUAAGAGCAAGUGUGAUGCUGUAAUGAUCGAUCUAUCCCCAGCAGAUGAAGUAUCCUGAUUCUGAUUUAUACAUGAAGACUUGGAGUUGAGGCAGGUCUUAAGCCCCAGUCAAGCCGGCCACAUCACUUAUUAUGCAAAACUUGUAAUCUAAGUAUCCUCAAAACUGAUAACUUGUUAAUAAAAGACCCUUUAAAUCGUGUCUCUUCUGCCUACUGUGGAGAUAUUGCUCAAAUAAGAAUUGAUACAUCCAUAAAUCUGUAGAAAAAAGUCAUUUUCAUUCACAGAGGUGCGCAGGGUCAUCCCUUCAUGGUGAUGUAACUUUUGUUUUUGGUCCAAUUAAAUCUGAAACAAGCCUUACUUCCUGUUUACCCUCACAUAAACAAACCGUUACAAAACUCCCAAACAGAAAUAGACUUAUUUGGGAUUUAGCAGGGUACCGCUGCAUGAACAACACUGUCAACACCAAUCACGGAGAGAUAGCAGCACAAACUCUGUUGUGUAAACCAUGUUUUACAGCAGUGGUUUCAGAGACCUGUCUCAAAAGUUAGACAUCAUUUUCUUUUCUUUACUUUUUUUUUAUCCCACCUUGAAUAAAAAGUAGCAGCAGAGAAAUAUCAGGAAACAAGAUGAGAGAGACAGUGAGUGACAGGGAAAAGGUUCCUGGACAGGCCUCUAGGGUGUCCCAGUGUGUGUUUUUCAGCAGCGUCUUUCUGAAAUAGGAUCUCUUUUAAAAUCAGGUCAGGAGUAUUAAAAUUAGUCACAGUCAUGAAGUGACAGGGGUUGACAGGGUUUUCUUGGAAGAAAACGAAGCGGAGGUGGUGCUUUUCUUGUCAUGCACAUAUCUGCAUGUGUCGUGUGCACACUGGCUCAACCAAAGACUUUUCACAAGCAGCGUGUUGUCGAAGUUUUCAUACUCAUAUAACUAAAGAAAAGCAAGCAAAGCUGUAUAUGCUAGGGCCCGACUGAUAUGGAUUUUUUGGGGCCGAUGCCAAUACGGAUUAUUAGAGGGGAAAAAAAAUCUGAUUACUGAUUAAUCAGCCGAUUUUUAAAUUUUUUAAUUAAGUUGUAAAAAAUAUACAUAUACUGUAGAUAUACUGUAAGCUACUGCUCUUCACACUGACAGGAAGACCGACUGAUCAAACUCGGACCAGAAAAGUGUUUUCAACUAACUAACUAACGGCUAACAGUGUAGCAAGGCUAGGAGGCUAACUCUAACUUUAGCUUGCAUAUUACAUAGUGCUUCACUGUUAACUCGGCGUGACCGAGACCAGCACAACGGGGAACAUCAUGAAGUGGGUUGAACUGAAACUUGUUGACUUAUUGUGUAUUACACAAACUGGUUUAUUUACUGUUGAGGCAGACCACUCUCCUCCUUGCGUCCCUGAACUGCCUGUUACAGAUCUGUCACUCCGCUGUGCUGUGAGGUAGUUAGUGGAUGAAGAUUGUCAUGAGGUCGCUGCGCCAUCUACAGGAUAAGUCGGGGAACUUUUCAAAUGGCGGAACAUUAUCUUAUUCUCCGCAUUUAAUUUCUAAAAAUAUUGGCAAAAAUUGACGACUUUUGGCCGAUUACCGAUUAGUCUCAAACGGGCUUAAAUUGGCAGAUUUAAUCGGCUCGCCGAUAAAUCGGUCAGGCCCUAGUAUAUGCUACAUUGAAAUGCAAGAAUUCUUGUCAUAAGCUGUUGCAAGCAAGCAAAAACCUCAGAGUUUAAGAGGUGCUGGGACUGCAGUUCCUUUUGUGUCCACUUGAGGGUGGCUCCAAAGCCCCAAAAGCCACAUACACACCCAUUAAAGGAGGCCAUCUUUACAUCAAACAUUAACAUACAUACUUACAACUUGGUACAAAUAAAGAGGAUUUUCAUUUGUUUUGAAGACGUUUAAGAAAUGAGUUUUGCAUCUUCAUUUGAGUUGGAUGACUUGAUUGACAGGCUGUAGAUGUGGUGCUUUGUAAGGUGGCUCAAAGUCCACCUCAACUCCACCUGUUUUGCCAACCAAUAAUCAAGGCCUGUCAGCAUUUCCAAUACAGCAACCACCAUUGAUCUGCUUCAAAACUGCAUGUUGCUGAUGCUAUUGUUGCUGAUUUUACUCUGAAAAGGCAAAGUAGCCAAGCAUCUCUCGAGGAGGGAGGGUGAUGACCACCUCUCGCUUUACCUUGGAUGCGCCCCUGCUAUCAGUGUCUGUGAAAUAGGUUUUUCAAUUGUUUCUAAUUUAACCAUGAUGAUAAAUUAGAAAAAAAUAAAAAAGUCCUUAGGAUAUAGUUGGCACCAUCUUCUCUUCCUCUGACUCAGCUUCCUCCGCUCACCUUGGUCAGCCAUGCUUGUAUAUGCAGUAUGUGUCAAUGUCCAAGCUAAAAUUAAAAGACUUAUGACACUAUUACUCACGUCGACUGGCAACCUUAACAAUGAGGCCAGUCACUUAGGUACGUCUGCUUCUAUUUGUCUCUUUCUUCCUCUUGGCACUCUCGCACGUCAGCACUUCCUCCCCUCGCCUGGAUUUGAAUAACCUCCCAUCGCUGCAGUUUAGCGUUCGUCAAAGUGGGGGGACAGAAAUCUUGCACUUGGCUCGGCUCCACACGUCAGGAGGAGGCUGGCUGCCCUUCAGUCAAGAAUGUGGUUGAUGUGCUGAGGGGAAAAAAAAAAAAAAAAAAAAAGAGACGCCCACAGGGAAAGUUUGCUAUCUAAGUUGAACCCCCUUAAAUCUCACAAAGUAAUUAAGAAAGUAAUUGUUACCUCUGAAAACUUUCCUUUUAUCAGAUUGGGGUUAUUAUCCAGGGGAGGUUGCUAUCACCAUUCUUUAAAAUAAUCUGAUUAGAAAACUAUUGCCUUGAUAUCUUUUCCCUGACACAAACAGCUUGUAAUAACCCUUUUUAAAAAUAGACAGGAGGCAUUUUGCAGUGAAAUACUCCCUCAAUCCAACCACAAUGACACGUCUGAGACUACAAUCUAUCUUUGGGUUAUAAGGGGUCACAUUUAGGACAAAAAGGCAUCGAAACAAAGCUUGGAAUUGCGUCUACAACCUCACCAGUCCUUGCACUUUUACUAUCACAUGUGGAAUUAAGGAUUAACAAAAGAAUAACCCAAACUUUCCAUUUGAGGCCAACAUAAGCCUCUUAGGCUUCACUGCAAUGUUGUUUUUGUAGUUUUUUGGAUGCAGUGACUUUCAUUACAGAGUCAUGUUUGUUUUCAGCAAUGAUUGGCAAGCUUCUCAUAAAAUAAAGUGGGCUAAGCUGCUAGUUACAGCCCAAUAAAUAUCACUUCAUUACAUAAAAGCUAUGCCCCGGAGAAAUGUGGCAAGCUAGGCUAAGUAGUUAAGCUACAUGAAUUUAUUGUCUGGGUUUUUUAUUUCGAUUAUUUCAAGCUAUUUGAUCGAUGAUCAAGCUGUUCGACGACAAAAGCUCCUGUGAGGAAUCUGGCGCCCCCCUGUGGACUAAGCAGCCACUGCGAAUCUUGCCCUCUCACAUGCUUGAUGAUGACUUACCCCCAAUUUCCACAGCAUCCAUAACGGCUAUGAAAAGGCCGUAUCCACGGAUCAUAACCAUUCAAGUUAAUGAGUCAAUUUCCACCGGCUUCUUUCUGUUCCGCUGCAGAUUACCGAACUUCGCAGCUGAUCGCAAGAGUUCAAUUUUUUCUGGACGCCAGAGCAUGCCGGAUAAAUUCGGGACAAAUUAACCUGUGCUGGAAAGGAAGUCAGGCACAGACACAAAAUAAAACAUUGUGAAUCGUGAACAUGAAUUUGCAGGUUCUUGUGAGUUCUUGCGAUUCCUGCUGUCCGUAAUCCACCACGAAAUUCACCUCACAAAUGAAUCUGGUAGGAAUUGGCGUACAGUGAAAAUUGCCACUGUUCCGAAUGCGGUGGACUUUUAUCGGUCCAAUGUCAUAUUUAUCUUAAGUCAGUCAGUUUCAUGACUUUCGCUAUAUUUGGAUAUUUGGGCUGAAUGAUUUAAACACCAUCAAAUUCUGUUGAGAUCCGACUUUUCUGGAGUUCAUGGUUGGAUGCAGGAAAAUAAAAAAAAACAACUCGGCACUUAAAACACAAGUAAACAUCCAAUUUUUCGGAUUUACACCAGACCCAGAGUGUCAGCCAAACCAAACCAGGGCUUUUCUUCCCCGUCUCUGAUAACCUUGACCUCACUCUUUGGCGCUUAACACCCUUGUCGGCCUCUAUCGUCGAUGAUGUUGCUGCAUAUCAGUGUCGGGUGUUAUUCCCUGCCUCUGGUGUCGCCUCUUGGGCCGUGCCUCGCUAUUUUAUCCGUGUAAUCACUAGGCAGCCUACAGAGAUCAGACACACUGUCCGAGUGAUUCCCCUCACAGGAAUGUGAGCGCUCAAAUAGCACAAACGAGUAUCCGAAAAGACGGGAAGGUGUGUGCUUAUGCGAGCGUGUGCGCGCUUUCUUUUCCUUUACGUGUGUGCAGUGGAGAGUGCGAUGAGUGGUCGAGUGUCAGAGCUGCGACUUUCGAGAGCAAACACUGCUGGCAGCUCUCCGUAGUGAUCAAGUCACGCGUCACUAAGCCCAGCGUGGAUCCGCUCUGAAGUUCAGCUGAGUUAAAAGUCAUGUGUUUCCUUUCUUUCCUUUUUUUUUUUUUUGGGACGCGUGUGUGUGCGCUUGUGAACCACAAUGGAAGAAUAGCUUUCAGUGUGUGUUUGUGUGCCUGCGACACAGCUACGCCAGGGUCACAAGGAUGCCAUUCAUAGUCACAGUUUGUGACGGGUGUCUGACAAGCCCCACAGGAGGACUGCUUGAUGUGCUGAUACAGACAAGAAUGUUUUCUUAAAGUGUUUUGCAGAGUGCAGAUCAAGGGACGCAUACUUAAAAUGCACCAGAAAAACAUUGUGCCACCACGAGGUUGUUUUUUUUUGGGUUCUGUUUGCACUCGAAAAAUAAGCAAAAGCAAAGUAUAAAUCACUGAAAAGGCUCAUGAAAUCAAAUAAUGAUGCGGCACAUUUUCCACAAUCAAAAACAAACACUAUCCGCGUGUAAAUUGUUUCUGGCUUUCACAAUGUUGUGUGUGUGUCCGCACCAUUAACUCUCUGUGAUGUUUUUAUUCAGUGUCGUUCUGCCAAGCAUAACAGAUGUGGGUCUGCAUCUGAUUUGGUAUGCGAGCUCUCUUUUUCCCAGCUGUCACUAGUGUGCCGUCAUGUGUGUGACAUCACAUCAGGUGAGGAGCGAUACUGCGAUGCCGAUUCAUCCUUGAAGAAACCUUCAUUUAAAGCAGAAACCACUGACCUUGGAGCGUUUGAAUAGUUUCUCUGAGGAAAACGUCUUAAUUAUCACAUCAGGUGUCUAAAAAAGUGAAGGUAUAUUUGAGUUUUUAUUUUUUAUUUUUUUUAACCUUCUGCUGCCAGGACAAAACCCCUGAAACACUUAAAAAUCGGUAAACAAUCAAAUUUUAAAUAUUCAACGAUCCAAUUUAGGCUUAUUGUUUCAAUCCAAGCCUGGGCUCAACUGCACCAAGGUUUUUUAUAAUUAUAUAUUCAUAUGUUAAUAGGUCAUGUAUGAUUUCCCUUUCUUUUGUUCUCUGCGGACUCUUAGAGCUCAGUGAUUUUAGCAAUGCAGCGUAACCCAGUGUGUGUCUCCACCUCAAACCAACAACAGCCUACUCUUAAGUCUGGGAUCAGGCAUAGGGCUUUCUUGAUGUUUAAAGGGCCCGUCAGUGAGACGCCAUAAGAGUUCGCAAUGUGCACUCCUCUGAUCAUCACUAUCUCCUCACAAGCCAGCUUCAUUUCAACUCUGCAUUUGCAUGGAAGUCCAAACUCAAGGUCCUUACACACCACGACACAAAUAUACGACAAGAAAUUACGAAAUAUUCAGAGGCGAAUUUUGACACGCCUGACUUUACACAUCAAGCGCGAUGCGAUUUUGCAACUUUCUUGGGGGAGAAAGACGCGUCCCGGGUGGAAGUGAGAAGACUGACCCAACAGCAGACUGACUGUUUUUCAGUUCUGAUUAGACUCUAGUGUUGAGAUGUCUGUCUGUCAUGACAGCAUGUACUGAGUCGGGGCCAGUACCAGAUAAGCACAUUAAACUAUAAUCCAUAAACUUAAGGUAACAACCGAGACCUAAUAGUGCUGUGACAGCAACAUGAUUGAUUUUGAGACAGUGAAAAUACAUAUGGUAUGUUGUAUCUGAACAGAUUAGCUUACGAGCUAAAGUUACUUAGCACAGAUGAAAGUUAAAACAAAGACGUUUAGCAAACUGUUAAAGCACACAAACCAUCGUCAUAUAAGAAAUCCGACGCUAUGACUCUCCACAAGUUGUCCUUCAGGUCGUUAUCUUUGUAAUAUUUGUGUUUUUUAUCAAAAAGUACUCUGUUCUCUGACACGUAAACAAUCAGCCGGUCAGCCAUGUUGGAUAUACUGGUGAAUCUGACGUCGCAUCAACAUGAAAUCUGAUUGGUCAGAAGUGGAAACACAGUAUGCAAAACUUUAGAAAAUUUGACCGUGAUAUGAAAAAAUAUAUGGCGCAAUAUCCAAGGAUGGGAAAACGUCGCUGAUGUGAACGCUUGUAUUGACAGGAUAUGGGUUUGAAAAAAAUGUUGACGUCCAACGAUAAAAACGGUCCCGGUGUGAAAGGACCUUAAGACGUCAUCUUAAAAAGUCACCAAAAUUAUGUCAGAAGUGGACACACAGUAUGCAAAACUUUAUUGACCGCGAUACAAAAACGGGAAAACAACACUGAUGUUAACGCUUGUAUUGACAGGAUACGAGUUCGGAAAAAAUAUUGACGUUUAUUGACGUCCAAAAUAAUCACACAAAAAAAAAAUGCUCCCGGUCUGUAAGGACCUUUAGAUGCCAAUAAGCUCUCCAUCAUGCACACAUGCAAAAAAAGACACAUGCAGAUUAACUCACACACUGUUAAAGGUCUUUCUCUAGAAAUGUCAAUUAGCUUCAAUAAUAAAAUAAUCCAGAUUAUCUGACAACAUAUAACUAUGGUCUGUGUCUGCAUUGCCAACAACUUCCCAGAACAAUCUGCAGUAAACAUAGACGUUGUGACAUUUAUUAUUUCCUGACUUUGACGUCACCGUCUCUUUAAAUAGCAGCUGUACAUGUUGUUGUUGCUCUGUCUUCAAGAACCCUGGAAUGGCCUCGUAACUGUUCUGCGAAAAGCCAAAGUAUGCAAAGUGUUAUCGACCGAACCCACAUACAGAAACUAAGCUUUCUUCUGUUUGUUAUCUCAGGGUAACGCCUAUUCACUUAACAACAAUGAGAGGAAUCCAAACAACAAAGGGAGCGAGCAGAAUUCAUGAGAAAAUAGUCCUCAUACAUACAACAUGGAGCUUCUUACUGGGUCAAAUGUGAUCAAUAUCAAGUGCUAAUCCUCUGGAAUCUUCCUCUGAAUCUCAUUGAGUUCAGCUUUUAACAUGUGUAAGCGACUAUAAAUAAGUGGUAGUUAGUUUUAAGACCUGUAAUAACCUUUUGUACACUCAGAGCAGCAGCCUAAUUAAUGUCAACGACCUGCAGCGCAAAUCCAAGUAAUAAAAUACUGAUAUAACAGCAGACUCCAAGGGGCUUGAAAGUUGCCUCUGUAAUGCCACCCACUGGUUCCCGAAGAGGCGGUGUAAAGCCCUAUAAUGGCGGGCACCAUAUUGGAAAAGCUGACUCAGACUAGCUUUCAGAUAUAGAGGUGGAACCUGAGCAUCGUUUGCGCCCACAUUGUGCAAUUUACUGCAUUUUUGUACCAUGCAAGAAAAAAACUUGAUUCUGCUCCCACUGUGGGAUCCAACUGGAGUUUCUUGGCUUUUGGGGCCAGUCUCUAGUGGAUAUUUGAGGAACUGCAGAUUUCUGCCCCUCUGGAUGGAUUGAUUUACAUUUAAGGUUUCCACAAAAUAUACUGUUAAUCUGUGAAAGCUAAAUUUUUAAAUAGCGGUAAAUUACUGUAUUUUAACAAUGAAUUAUCCGUUUUUGUGUGCAUGUUUAAAGACUCACCAUACAUAUUACCACUGACCUGCAAACUAAACAAUGUUGGAGUUGUGUUGGAGUGAAAUGUGCCACCCAAAAAGUCCAGAGGUGUUAUUUUUCAUCACAGCAGCAGCAGGAAGCAAGAAGACACUGCAACACCUGACUACAGUGUGCCAAAAGGGACAUAACAGCACAUAUUCAACGCCGGCAACCACAAUAGAGACGAUAAUUAAUCAAUGCAAAAUUGUGAAAGGGCUUUCUUAAAGUUAUCACUUGAUUUGAAGACUCCCCUUGGCAUAGCUGUUUACUCUCAUCUAUGAGAAAAUGGAGGAAUUAAGUCACAUAUACAAGCUUUAGUUCUAAACGACUCCAACAGCUCAAGCUGAUCUCUUGAAUAAAUGUACCACUCUGUUUGUGUUGUCGGACCGCAAGUACACACAGUCCACUUGUGGUUGUAAAACAGAGUAAAUGAUGUUUGGACAGUUGGUGGAGUGUGGGCAUGAGCCUGCAGAAAGGAAGCUAACCAGACAGCGGCCAAAUGUUGCACGUUGGCUGUUACAUAAUUUGUUUACAACUGUUGAAAUCCUGAUGUCAGUCCUCAAAGGUACUCCUCUACGGAUGCUUAAUACACAAGUUUACACCUCAAUCCAUGUCUCUUUAACAAUGGAGACCAAAGAGGGUUAGAAUAAAGACUUUUUUUUGAGAUUCAGAGCAUGAAAAAUUCACCAUCUGGCAACUGGAUCUAAAAUGGGACUCAGUUCAAUCCAGCCCUUGCUUCUAGGUUGGAUAUCAUACAAAUAUUUUGCAUAAUCAGAAGUAGAAAUAAUUAUUAUCUCUGUAAAAUGUGCAGAGACUCAAAGAUCAAACACCCGAGCUCCAAUUAACAUCUUUCGAAGUACAAAAGAGGAAGUAAAGAUGAAACGGAUGACAGAAUACAUCAUUUAUGACUCUGAAGCUGAUUUUUCACCAUUUGGUUCAGCCUCACAGCUGUCCUGCUGAAUACACGCGUCUGAACUCAUGAGGCUCAUUUGCAACAUUUCUUUAGGAAUCAGUGGGUAAAAGAUGAAUAAGCGAGUCCUUCACUACGAGAAAAGAAAGAGCUUUGAAGGCUGUGAAUUACAAUGUCACCAAUUCCUUAUUGCUAAAAGCAACAAGUCUAUUUGAGUAAUGAAUGAGUGUGUUCCCCCGGAUUCCUUUGCUUUCCUGGUUUAUUCCUCCUAACGCUUUUAGGAGUGCGUGUGUGUGAGGUGGGAAAGCUAUCACAUUUGUCUCUAUUGUAAACCCUAAAGCUAGGAUAAAUGAGUUUAAAUGAUAGAGUAUUUGCAUCACUGAGCAAGAUUUUGGAUGAAUGAGCCUCAGCUCAUGAUGAAAUUCUACUCCAGGCUCAGCGUAUAAUUUCAGACACACGUGGUGCCUUUGCAAUUCAAUUAUUCUCCUGGAUCACCUCCAGUGGAGGGCAUUAUGCUUAAAUUUGCAUGCAGACAGUGGGGGGAGAGUAGGUAUGGAAAACUGAAUGGCUUCAUUACGUUAUGGUGGAUGAGUCUGACCGUAUCAUGCUUAAGUCAAGGAAAAUACCUGCAGGAGCCUGGAAUGUAUGUAUUCUAAUUAGUCUUUGCUGGUUUAAAGGAGAACCUGGAUCACAGACAACUUACAAUUGUGCAUCUAUAUAAAAAAUGGUCAAAGAUAUUCUGGGGUCUAAUGCACCAGCUAUGAGAGGAGUUAAUUUUGGUGACUUUUUAAGAUGAAGUCUCAAGGUCCUUUCACACCGGGACCGUUUUUAUCGUGCAAUUAUUUCGGACGUCAACAUUUUUUUCAAACCCGUAUCCUGUCAAUACAAGCGUUCACAUCAGCGACGUUUUCCCAUCCUUGGAUAUUGCGCCAUUUAUUUUUUCAUAUCACGGUCAAAUUUUCUAAAGUUUUGCAUACUGUGUUUCCACUUCUGACCAAUCAGAUUUCAUGUUGUUGCGACGUCAGAUUCACCGGUAUAUCCAACAUGGCCGACCGGCUGAUUGUUUACGUGUCUGAGAAUACAGUGCUUUUUGAUAAAAGACACAAACAUUACAAAGAUAACGACCUGAAAGACAACUUGUGGAGAGUCAUAGCGUUGGAUUUUGUCAUAUGACGAUGUUUUGUGUGCUUUAACAGUUUGAUAAACGUCUUUGUUUUAACUUUCAUCUGUGCUAAGUAACUUUAGCUCGUAAGCUAACCUGUUCAGAUACAACAUACCAUAUGUAUUUUCAAUGUCAAUGCCUAUCUGGUACUGGCCCCGACUCAGUACAUGCUAUCAUGACAGACAGACAUCUCAACACUAGUGUCUAAUCAGAACUGAAAAACAGUCAGUCUGCUGUUGUGGGAUGUGUCUUGGUUGUAACUUGGUUAACAAAAAGUCACAAGAUGUAAGUUUUUAUGAAAUCGACAGUUGAAUUAUAAUAUCUUGGUCUAGUUGUAGUUGAUAAAAUAUUAGAUUCAUACAUUCAAACACCAUUUCACAAAGUAGAGGUAUAGUAUUUGGUCAUUCUAAGACAGAUCCAUGGACUAAGUCACUUCUUGUCGUCUUGGGCAGUCUCUUCACUCAAACCAGUACUUUUGAGGAAAUUUGAUUUGGCUACAAAAAAACUCUCUUUUAGCAACACAAUUAUUCCUCAAAAUUUGUUGCACCUCUGCUGCCUUUCCUCCCUAAAGCGCAUUUUAAUUUGGUAUUCAAUCACUUUAAUGUUGUCUGUUAGGAUUUUUCUACUCAUCACUAUGGCAACUACACAAGUAUUAUUGUACUGUAUUUCCACAAACUUUACUUUUUAAGGUUUGUUUACCUGAAAUCGACCUGUUUACCUUGGCUUUACCCGUUCUCACUUUCAGGAGGCUUUAUUAGGGUCGCAAAACCAGGUCCCUUUUUGAAAAAUACUGUCGCCACGCAGACUUAACGAAAAGCGGUGAACUUCUAAACACACUCUGAACUUUUAAUAGUGUGUUUUUUGGGGUCACUGCGCAGUGAGGGGAGAGGCAAUGUGUCACAGUGUGCUCUCAAGUUGGGCUGCGUCCCGGAGGAUUCAAUAUUCCAUUAGGACUAUUAUUUCUAAAGUAGAUUAAUCCCUGUCAUUUAACGCUUGGCUGAUGUCCAUUUGAAGUCAUUAUGAAGAAGCACUGACAUUGUUUCAUAAAUUAUUCACAACAUUAUCUGGGACUCUGUGCAGCCACCAAGCAGAGCUUAAGGGCUGGAUCGUUCGCCGCUGGAGGAAAGCGUGUUCACCUUGAUGAAUUGAAUAGAUGGAUCAUUUUCAACAUGCAUGCAGGUGCAUUUUAGGACAGUGCAUUUGCUUUGUGGGGCGUUUUGCCGUUUGCGUGUGUUGAUCACGAGUCGAUUCGUCAGUUUGGAUCUCCACAGUUAUGGGCCUUAUGGGACCUUUAUAUCCUCCAGCUAGGAUACAGAUUUAGAGCAGCUGCAGUAUUAUAACCCAUUGUGUGCAAAUUGAAGCUGUGGCUGCAAGACUCAUGCAUAUGAAUUCCCAAAAAAAAAAAAAAAAAUUACAACAUAACUGCUGUUUCUACAUCCUUGCAUGAGCUAACUAACAAUCAAUAUGUUCCCUAGCUGGAUACAUUUGUGGCAUCAGCUUGAAUACACUGUAUUUGAUCUAUUCUUAUCUGCGCCUCUUCCCUGCUGCUGCAAUAACCCAGUUCCCCACAGGGAUAAUUAAAGUUUAAUUUAAUCUAAUUUAGGAGGUGGGUUUCCUUUAAAAUUCAACACAGUAAAAAAAAAGCUCUAAUGCUGGGUCUGCUAAGUAAUUGUAAGGGAGUAAAUGGAGCAAGAAUCAGUAAGGGAGUGCACACGCAUUUAUUCUCUGUAAUGACACCAAACCUGUUUGGAUAAAAGAUUUCAUGCCUGUGCAUGAUCAGCCCGUCAUUACAAAACCAUGUACUUCAAGUCAUGUUUUCCAGUGUAAUAUAUCUGUCAUCACAUCAUUUAACAGCUCAGUAUUAUUAUUUACGAUAAGGGUUAGGUGUUGUUGUGGUGUGAAAGGAUUAGGCGAAGGAUCUUUAAGAAUUUGCAUAUUUUGAAACAAAUAAAAGGACAAUGAAUGUAAGUAUUGUCAGGGUAAAAGAAGCCUGAUCUAGUGUACACCUCUUCCCAUGAAACUCCACCGUUUUCUAAAGAAAGUGUUGCACAACUGUUGUUCUUUCAGCGCGGUUAACCCCGGCGCUGUAGUUCUCUAUCAGUCAACCUCACAAUAUAAGAAUUGAGCUCUUGGUUUUAACUGCAAAGCCAAUACUGAGUCGCCUUAAUCCUCCGUUCUUUACGAGCUGCGGUUGCAAUAACAAGUCAGUUCAGAAAAAACUUUAGAAAGCACUCUUUAGCUGUGAAAGGAAUUCAUUUGAAAAAUUAACCGGACAUUGGAGCUGCUUUUUCUUUUUUUUUUUUUUAGCACAGAUUUAAACCUGCUGUAGGAGCCGAUGGUUUUUGGCUGAACGCCAAAUGCAGCACAACACAGAGUAUGAUGCACAAGUGCUGAGAUAUGGGUUACUAUACUGAUUAACUUAGCCUUUUCAUGGAGUUUGAUGCCAAUUAUGAAAAGACAGAAUGCAUUAGCCUUAUCCUAUAAAGGGCACUGGUGGAAAACAGGCCAUCCAGCUGCUUGUGUCCACUCUAUUACACUUCCCCUAUAGUGUAUAAUGCAUCAUUCGUCCUUCAGCUCGCCAUGACAUGUGCCCACUAAGUCCCCAAAGGGAAUCUUCAGUUAGUGUUGUGUUGUCCAUGAACAUUUCAUUCAAAAGAAUUGAACUGCUGAGUGUAUGACGUGAACUGAAUCAGCCCGAGACCUGAUUCAUUCCUUUUUCAGUUCAGUUGCCGGUCAGGAGUGGAACUGCCGCCUCUGACUCUGGCGAACGACACACAGUCAGCGAGCUAGUAGGCGGAGUCUCAUGAUUCACUCUCAGCGAAUGAAUGAUAUGUAUCAGUCAGUAGAUGAAACAGUCUGUAAAUGAUGUGUAUCAGUCAAUGAACAAAAUAGUCUGUAAACUACACGUCAGUCAGUGAAUGACGUAUCAGUCUGUGAACGAAACAGUCUGUGAACGAAACGACAGUCUGUGAACGAAACAGUCUGUGAACGAAACAGUCUGUGAACGAAACGUCUGUGAACGAAACAGUCUGUGAACGAAACAGUCUGUGAACGAAACAGUCUGUGAACGAAACAGUCAGUGAACGAAACGACAGUCUGUGAACGAAACAGUCUGUGAACGAAACAGUCUGUGAACGAAACGUCUGUGAACGAAACAGUCUGUGAACGAAACAGUCUGUGAACGAAACAGUCUGUGAAUGACCUGUAUCAGUCAGUGAACAAAACAUUCUGUGAAUGACCUGUAUCAGUCAGUGAACAAAACAGUCAGUGAACGACAUGUAUCAGUCAGUGAAAGAAACGUCUGUGAACGAAACAGUCUGUGAACGAAACAGUCUGUGAACGAAACAGUCUGUGAACGAAACGUCUGUGAACGAAACAGUCUGUGAACAAAACAUUCUGUGAAUGACCUGUAUCAGUCAGUGAACAAAACAGUCAGUGAACGACAUGUAUCAGUCAGUGAACAAAACGUCUAUGAAUGAAACAGUCUGUGAACGAAACGACAGUCUGUGAACGAAACAGUCUGUGAAUGAAACAGUCUGUGAACGAAACAGUCUGUGAAUGAAACAGUCUGUGACCGAAACAGUCUGUGAACGAAACAGUCUGUGAAUGACCUGUAUCAGUCUGUGAACAAAACAUUCUGUGAAUGACCUGUAUCAGUCAGUGAACAAAACAGUCAGUGAACGACAUGUAUCAGUCAGUGAACGAAACGUCUAUGAAUGAAACAGUCUGUGAACGAAACGACAGUCUGUGAACGAAACAGUCUGUGAAUGAAACAGUCUGUGAACGAAACAGUCUGUGAAUGAAACAGUCUGUGACCGAAACAGUCUGUGAACGAAACAGUCUGUGAAUGACCUGUAUCAGUCUGUGAACAAAACAUUCUGUGAAUGACCUGUAUCAGUCUGAACAAAACAGUCAGUGAACGACAUGUAUCAGUCAGUGAACGAAACGUCUGAGAACGAAAGUCUGUGAACGAAACAGUCUGUGAAUGAAACAGUCUGUGAACGAAACGUCUGUGAACGAAACAGUCUGUGAACGAAACAGUCUGUGACCGAAACAGUCUGUGAACAAAACAGUCUGUGAAUGACCUGUAUCAGUCAGUGAACAAAACAGUCAGUGAACGACAUGUAUCAGUCAGUGAACGAAACGUCUGAGAAUGAAAGUCUGUGAACGAAACAGUCUGUGAACGAAACGACAGUCUGUGAACAAAACAGUCUGUGAACGAAACAUCUGUGAACGAAACAGUCUGUGAACGAAACAGUCAGUGAACAACAUGUAUCAGUCAGUGAACAAUGCUGUGACUUCAAUGAACGAACUCGCGGCUGUGUCACUCACUUGUGUUCUGCACCGGCAGGACAGGGCUCCAAAGCACUGACUGAUUCAGUGAACAAAUCCUUUGAACAAAUCCUUUCAGUGAACAGAUUCUUAAUAUUCAGAACAGUCAAAAGAACUGUUCUUCCCAUCACUUUCUUCAAUGGAAGACAAGAAAUGAACGUAAAGUAUAUUUAUCACUCUCUUCAAUGAUUUUUAGAGUUGAGCAGCGUUUUCACGCUGAGAAAAAAAAGGUAAAGGUGAUUGUAGCGUCUGAUCAGGACUGCUCCCCCAGGAGAGAUUUAAGGCAGGUCUAGCUUCCCAGGGCACUAUUGUGGCAGAUCCCAAACUCGCUUGAAGGUUUCUUUAUCUCUCAAACCCCCCCUUGGGUUUGUGGUUGAAGCUGCCCUGCUUAGUCUGCUGCCCACACAGCUUAGACCUGGAAGAGCAAGCCAGGAGUGAACAGAAAGAUGGAGCGCUGCCAAAGUCAAUAGAUGCACUUUUACUUUUUCGUCUAUGCGUGUGCAGGCUUGGUGUUUUGUUGACAUGUAAAGUAAGGAUUAAGGGCACAAAACCACUGAGUAAUUCAACUUUUACCGACAUACAAACCGCUCAUUCUAGGUCGAGAAAGAUUGGCACUUUUACUACUUUUCAUAAGAUGUCAGGAUCAGUUUAAUUUGGUUUACGUAACACGGUUUGACUGACGCGUUUCUUUAUUUUGCCACUUGAUGUCUCAAGACACCUCACAGUGCGCCCUGACAACUUGGCACACUGUUUCUACCCUGAAUAAAGCGAAGAUGAUGAACUUUUAUAAGGCUGCUCAUUCGGAAGCCACGAAACAUGCUGGAAGACCGUCAUCUUUUGCGAUAAUCUCCCAAUGUCUAUUUUUUCUUUAUCACUUAAGUCAUACAUUGAUUUUAUCACCAAGUAAAACAUCUGAUUCCUAUUUACUCAUGCAUUCCAUUUUUUCUCUACCGCCUCAAUCCUUUUCAGGGUCACGACUGCAUCAGCUUAAAAAAAAUACAUUCUGUUGAUGCUGCAUGUGGUAACCAUCCACACCCAAACCAUUUUUUCCCCAAGGCUGAAUUUACUAGGUCAGGAGGAUGAAUUAUGACGGGCUUCUUUUGAAGUUAAUACCCCAAUAAUUGACUUUUUUGGACAAACAGAACACACAACUUUGGAUGAAAACCACCCCUAAAAAUGUGAAAGUAAUGCUGCGUUUAUUGAUUAUCUCCCCCCUGAAGCUAGUUGUGAAACCAACAUUCACAGCACACAUAAAGAAGCAUUAGAGAGGAUUUAUUUCGAGCUAUUUUAAAGAUAACAGUACACUGUUCGCUCCGUCUUUAGUUUUCCUGUUUUCCUCCCAAGGCGUCAAGUACCCGCCUUCGCCGUCUUAUAAAGAUGCACAAGAUCCUCUUAUGCAUCAGAAUCGCGGCUUUCAACUUGGUGUACUGUAAGCCUCUCAGCUGCAACAUUAUGUGCUCAUACAGUCUGCUGUUCGGACAUUUUCGAGCAAAGGUUGAGGUCAAUGGGUCAGCCUUUAAAAUCGAGGAUCAGCAGCAAAGCUCUGGGUAGAAACAAGGUGGAGGUCGAAUAAUAAACUUUAAAAACUUUCCAGACUUUUCUCAGGGAUUUGAUUUGAUAUGCUGCGUGUGAUCCGGUUGUCCCCGGAGCUGAAGAAAUAAUGACCAUUGUCAAUUAGAGCGUAGACUCCAUGCAUGCCUGACUGCAAAAAUAGCAUUUUGGCACGACUGCAAACAAAUAAACACAUUUAAAGAUCAUCACACGCUCACCGGGGUAGAGGAAAUCGGUUUCAGUUCUUGAAUAUGAGCUUUAAACGUCUUUGAGCUUUGAAGUUUUCCUCUUAUACAGAGGGAAAUAGGCUUGAGGAGAUCAAACUGACUCAUUAGUUGUUGCCUGGAGGUUGCCAGAACCGGGCAACAACAGACAUUUUAUGGGGGUGCAAAUAUUUUUGGAGAGUACUGAGAGGAAUUCUGCCUCGAGAUCUAAUAAUGGAAACAGAGAAUAAAACCAGUCGUGUUUUGGUGUGUUAAAAAUCCUGAAAGUCGCCGUGUAGUGACAUCAAUCAACUGUUCAAGGAAUAAACUCGCCACUUGGAACUCUCAAGUCCAGUUGGCUCCAAGUCAGUGACCCCGUUUACAUAGGUCCAAAAAUCCUAUUUACAAUCAGAUUGAAAGGUCAAUCAGAUUCAAAAUGUCGCAUAUAAACACCUUAGCCAAUCUGAUUCACCCGGAUCUGAUUGUAUUUCGGGUCGGAUUGUAAGAGAUUGAUAAUCCACUCCAUGCUUCAUAUAUACGGUUGAGUGGAGUGGAUUGGGUUCACAGAGAGGCUUGUUCGGUCUGCGCAGGCGCUCGGUAUUACGUAAGAGGCACGUAGUGACGUACGCAGAGUGCGCCCAAACGAAAACAAACAUGGCGAACAAACAGAAAAACUGAAUGGUGGAGUGUUAAAGCGUACACUUCUUGCUGUGUAACCUGGCUGGAUUAUACUUUUAUUAAACUUCAACACAUGGGUUUCGUUACUCUGCUCGGUCUGGUAACUCCAGCGGUGUCACACACAAACACGUCCGUGCGCAACUCUAAAACGGAACUAAAAUAAUGGUUCCUAUUAACAAUUCCCAUUGAUACAAUACAAUACAAUUGGAUUCAGCUGGGGCCAUAAAAACGCGGACUGAAUGUGGAUCUCUUUACUUUAAGUUCAUGUAUACAGAUGGAAUCAGAUCAGAACUACCCAUGUAAACGGGGCCAUUGAUUCUUAUUAGCGGCUUCGUUCACGAUUUUCUAUACAUGCUAAUUUAAGUUGAACUUUACCCUCCCAGAGUAAUAAAUUCAACCCUUUUCAACUCAACCUGUCACCAUUUCCCCUAGAAGAUAGAAACAGGCGCCAAAUGACUCCAAGCACCUGUGGGGGGGUUUAUGUGCUCAUGUCAAAACUCCACAUCUCAACCGGUGACAUGUGCACAACAAAACUUUCCCUUGUAACCCAGGCACAAACUGACACACCGCGCCAUCUCACAACUCAUUGCCCUCCUGUUCACUUCAUCUGUCAUCUUGCGUGCACCUUUCCCCAGCGGCAGUCUGUCAACAUUUGCUUCUGUUCCUUGUUUUGUCUGACUGAUAAAUGUAGAUCUGUUGUUUGUGCAAGCGCUAAUGGAUUCUAAUGAAGCAUCUAUAAUAAUCUGUCAAGCUUUCUAGCCAGUGGACACAAAGACACUCAAUCUACGACAAGUCCCAAACCUGAGGCGCGGAGGAGAACACAGCACUCAGGCGGCAUGCGGCAGGUUGUCACCUUACAUUACCUUGUGGGAAAUUAUCCAAUAAAAUAACCUCCCACUACCUCCUCUCCUACUUCCCUUCAAAGGAAGAUAGUGUUACGUUGUUUUCAAGCAGCAGUAUGUGAAAUUCUACUUUCAUAAGUACUGCCAAGGACGUAAAGAUGUACCAGUGUAAUGCAAAAAAAAUAUAUAUAUAUCUGCAGUGGUGCUUAAACUAUCUUAUAUUGCUUCUUAUAGCAACCCUCCGGACAUGUCUGGGAGCUGUGUGGACCAGUUUUUAAAAGGGAAAUGUUGCCCCAUCCUUGCUGGAUUAAAGAUUUAAGCUGCUCAAAAAUUCAGGGUCUCUUUUGUCGUAUUGUUUAUUGCAUGAUACGCCAAAAGGGGUGAGGUCGGGACAACAGCCUGGCCAGUUCAGCAUUGAAUGCUUCUGCUACAGAGAUGUAGUGUCGUAACCUUGUCUUUCUGAGGUAUGCAAGGUCUCCCAGGUAAACUGUACAGGCAAGAUUGGAGCAAAUGUUGCUCUAAAACUUAUUAAUAUUUUCCAGCAUCAAUGGUGAAAGCUUUCUUUGUCAAGGUCUUUAGACAAUAUUUGUGUGUUGUCAACAAAACACAGUUUUUCAAAGGCCAAUGGCGAUGCCAAUUAUGAGAGGGUAGGUGGACUGAUGACUAACAUAUGAUAUCUAUAUAUCAACCUUUUUAUAUAUUUAUUUUGCCAACAGUCUGGCACUUUUAAAUUUUGUUGUACUUAUUACAAUGACAAUAAAGGAGUAUUUAAUUUAAUUUAAUUAUUUUGCUUUGGUAAAAUACAUUUAAUAAUCCAAACAAAUUUCUGAACUUGAGUGAAAUUUUAUAAAACAAAUGUGGAUAAAAUAAUAUUUGUCACAGUAAAAUAUCACCAUAAGAGACUUUUGCAUCCAGCUGGUGAAAACUGUUGAGAAAGAAAGACAAUAUAAAGGUAAAUAUUGUAGUUAAAAUAUUUUUAAAAAGUCAGAAAUUCCCAUGCAGAGUAAAAUCUAUGUAACAUACAAACUUUCUUAGCCAAUAAAAUGUUUGAAAUUGAUUUUUAACAAAUCAGUGGAAAGACAAAAAGGUUUUGGGCUAUGCUGUCUAUACUGAACCGCAUUAUUCUACGCAUACUACAACUCAAACAGUAGCCUUUGACUACUCAGGUUUGAUAUGCAGAUGAUGAGGAAAAAUAGGCUUUCAAUUGGAGAAGGUACUAGGGAUAUCAACCUUGUGAGGAAUGAGGCAAAAUGAUGCUAAUUACGUUAAAAUUGCCAUUAAUUAUCAAACUAAUUAAUCGGUCUAUCUCGUGAUUUUAUUCAUUGUUUUAGUGAUAUUAUCUACUGCACAUGAUAAAAUUAACAAACUUAUUUACUUUGAGGAACAUUAUUCUAAGAUGUCCCAACUAUUUGCUCAUGCAGUCUCUCACACAGUGGUAAACCUAUUCCCAUUUUAAUCUCUUCAAGCCUCAUCUACUAAAAAAAGUUAUUUUCAUACCCUGUCAUGUUAAUAUUAGGUUUUGUUUGAGUUGCAAACCAUGAAAUAUGUUUUUCUGAAUAUUUCACACAGAGUCCAAACUUUUUUAGAAUUGUGGUUUUUGCACAUCGAGUUAAACAGAAUUGCUCAAGUGUCUCCCGUCUUUUUGGAAGUCCUGCCCCAGUUGCACAGCCUGAGUAAGUCCAUAGCCACGUGGAAAUAAUCAGAGAAGCCACCAUUGAGUUUAUAGCUUAGCCGCAACUCAAGAAAACUGCAUUACACCCCCUUUAACAGAACAUUCUCAAAUCACAAACGUACAUUAGGGCAGUAUACAAUGGCAUGUACAGUUUGAAUACACUUUGAAAUGAACAUAUUAUAAAGCAUAGUGAGUCAACUCCAACCUCAACCUCAUUGGGCACAGCUCUCAUGAUGACAAUCUUGAUAUCUUCCAUUAUGAUCUCUCAAGGUUGCCAACCCACAUGUGCAUUCCUUGAAUACCAGGUUACCAAUGAAAGCAACCAAGCUGAACUCAGUCCUACUGUACUGAGUGUAAUCGUAGAGCUGCAAAAGGUGGAACUUUCCAGGGUGAGAAGCGUUUAAUUUUCAUCUAAACCCAAACUCUCUUGGUGUUUCGUCCUGUUUAUGUGCUAUACUCCCCGAUCUUUAUUGAGAAAUCUCCCUCAGCCUUUCUGUUCCCUCACACAUCUGGGACUGAUAUUCAAAAGCAUGGAAACAGCAUGUUGAGUCUGUUUCAAGUCAUUCUGUCUGGCCUGGUUAGCAAACUGUGGUCCAAGCCGCCAUAUUAUUAUCUUUUUUGAUCCAUCUCAAACUGUUUGAAUUAGUGUUGACCCAGAAUCGGCUGCCAGGGAUGGAGUCUGUGCUGAUGUGGAGCCACUUCACUAGAUUUGGUGUUCCUGUGCUUCUUGUUUCUUGCAUAAAUGUUGAGGUACGGAGACCAGAUCUUUUGAGUGACACGUUUGAGGCGAGAACAGCUGUUUUUUAUUCCCAUCUGUGGAGAAAUAUGUCAGGAAAAAGAACGCUGUAACACAGCAGUGUGGAUGAUACUAGUCAGCCAUGAAUUGCAUUUGUCAUUGUUAGCUUUGAUGGCUGGUACAGUCAGACAAUCUGGCUGUCUGUGUAUCCAUCCACAGUACUUUAAUAUACGUUAGAGGCAAAAUCUCAUCACAUCUCACAAGGGUUAGUGAAAUGUGAAAUGCGGAUGUUCGUCCAGGCAGGCCACAAAGUCAAACUCAGCUCUUCAGAUGAUCCUUAGCUCCCAUUUUUACCAAUCUGGUUUUGUGCCUUUUUGCAAUGGAGUCAAGAGUUUCUUGGCUUCCUAUUACAGCGCUGACUCACACUGGUGUCCGGUAUGUGACAAACACGCUCAUCUGCCAAACUGACGAAGAGGCAUUUGGCCGCCUUGCCACUCCGAGUCAACCCAUGAUACAUCUUGUUUGUUAACGUCAGUUGGCAUCUUGGAUCCUGGCUUUGGCGCAAGGGUUUAAGGACAGGCCUGCAAUGGUGCGUGUUUUGGUCUACUUUAUCAUUUUUUAGUGGAUUAUGGGUAUACAGUUUACACCAUGCGCAACGUGCCAUAUUUUUAUAUUUUAAGUAUCAUUUUGGGACAAUUUUGCCAUUACGGAGAAGGCUACAUCCUUUCCACCUGGAUAGGGUGCGUGCUGAAACUGCUGACCCAAACGAGCAUCUCAUUAUGGAACUUUCUGGAGGAAGUUUGCAACUUCUCAAUCUGUACAGAAACUUUGGAAAAGCUAUUUUUCAUGCAUUGUUCAGUCAAGUUUUCGUGGUAUAUUGCUUCACGGCUGAGCUGCAACACUUUGGCAGAAACUUAUUGGGACUCACGCCAACAGAAAACAAAACCCCAAAUAAGAGCCAAGUUACUAGUUGUUUCCAAACAUCCUAUUACACUCUCACUUUUAGCUCAUUUUGGUGCUUUGUGGAUGUUUGCCAGAUUUCUUUUGAACUCAUGAUAAUUAUGGUUGUGACUUUGGCAACUAAACUCACCAUGCCUGGUAAUUUGAUUGCUAUAAAACAAUGAGUCCUGUCUGACCAAGAUUAACUUAACCUAUAAACAACAACAACAACAACAUAAUACCUUGGCUUUCCACAGAAAUGCUGAUCAGCUGAUCUCAUUAUUGCAGUUUUCACGCUACCCAAUUUCCCCCCCUUCUUUUUUCUUAUCUUUGAUUUCAAGGACGAGUCUUCUCUUCUUUCAUAUGCAAACAUUAGCAGAAUAAAGGCUUGCCAGUGUCAUUGAGGCAUUAUUCAUGUAGUUUUAGCUCCAUGUUGGGCUCAUUAUUGAUUUCUUGAAGUGGCACUCCUCCAUCUUGGCGGCUGUACGCCAACACCGGAGCCUUUUGUCUCGCCCUCCAACAAGCAUUCCAGUCCUUCAGCUUAUUCUAAGGUAUUUAGAUUAUAUAUUUAUAUUCAGGAGCAGAGCUUGAAGUAAGCCUCCUUCCUUAUUAAGGAGGGUAACCUUCUUCCUGCUGCCAAGCUUCUUCCCAAUUACAGCGACUACUGCUGAUGAAAUGGCUGUGCAACAUGGCGACUUGUCAUUUGGCCAAUUAUUCUUAAUGAAGCGCACAGACGGAAGGAUAACUGUGCUGUGCCAUGCUGUGUUUGUAAUAUCUGUACAGGGACAAUCAUGUUAAAUGUUUUAGAUUCUACUUGUCCAAUGCUUUCAGCGUUUUCCAUCAUUUCCACAGCCUGUGGAGCCUAAUCAGUCAUAUUAUAAUGGCCUCUGAAGUGGUUGACAGCAUGAAUUUGAGAUAUUAAAGAAUUAACGCAAUUUCAAACUCCUCUCAAAGUAGAAAGUAUUGACUGCUUAGCCUGCUUUUUCAUCGAUAUCUCUAGUUUUGAUAAAUUGUUUUGUGUAUUUGCUCAAAUUCAAGCCACACUUGAGAUGUAAUAGAUUUCCUCCAUAGCAUUUAUUCACCCAGAGAAGAUUCGCCGAGCAUGGGUGCUCUUCCUGUCAAUGCGAUGCCUCGCAUUUACACAGUGAGACACAUUCACAGCUGGGAGCUGCUCAGCACAGCCACUGUUUCCCACUCCCGGCCGCUGAGCAGCUCCACUGGAGCAUUUAGCAUUUAAGUGCCUUUUUCGAAGGUACAUCAUCAGUCGGUCUGGGGGGAUGAAGAGAGAGAGCUACUUAUUCACUUAUAGUACGCCUCGAGCAUACUGUACGUCAACUUUCAAACCCCUUUAAUGCUUUUAUUUAACAUAUCGUUGCUUUUCCUGCUGGUGCUUAAGUAUAUUAUCCUGCCUAAAUGAAGGCUUACGUAUGACAAGUACCCUGAGGAGUCUAAUAUCCACAAAUUUGAAUAUUAUGGAUUUCCAUGUGGUUUUCGCGCGGUUGGGUGGUUUCAUGUAUGGAGAUGCAUGGCAACACCUGAAGGUGAUGUAGUGUCACGAACUAGAGUUAAAACAAAAGGGAAAGGACCUAAAUGCAGACAACAAAGGAUUUAUUUAAAAAGAAUUAAAUUUAAAAGAAAACAUCAAAAACUGUCUUUAAAAUGUCCAACUAAAAGAUCCAACAAAAGACACUGGGGAAAAAUUCACAAGGAACAACAGGGGACACAGGCAUAUGCGCACAUCGACAUACGAUGAACCAACCAGGACAGAGGUGAAGACAGGGACUUUAUACACACUGGUAAACGAGCAACAGGUGGGGCUAACGAGACACAGGUGAAAGUCAUAGGUGACUAACGAGGGAGGGAAAACUAGGGAAGUAAAACCAGACUAGAAACACAAGGAAUCAACUACUACGAAAUGAUAUGGAAAACACUGAAAACUGAUCUAAAGAGUAAAACAUUGAGAAAAGGAGGGAAACAAGGUCAAACACAAACUGAAAACUCACAAGACUGGACUACAGGGGAACAGGAACAAUCGGAAAAAUACACAAAAUGCACUCAAAUAACAAAAUUAGGCAAAAACUAAAUCAACAGAACAAAUGACGUGUAGUGAAGUACAGUAAAACUUACAAUCCCUCACUGCAGAUAUAGACAAACACCAAUAUAAUGACGUUGCUGUUUUGUAACCAGUCUAAAGCGCCAGAAAAAAAAAAACAGUACGAAGACUGCUAAAACCUUCUAAACCUUGUAUGUGUGGUUGAAAUAUAGCAAAAUCCAGAGAAAAAAAGUACCCAGUACCAGUCCUAUUGACUCCAUGGAUUUGAGUUUGAUUAGCGUACUGCUAGCUUGUGUAAUAUUGAAAACAGAUGGUACCAGAUAGAGCUACACGGCUGCACAAAAAACAAACAUUGCUGAGCGUUGAAGCAUAGAACCUUUGCAACCAAGCACUGAACGAUUCGAUGAUUCAAUGAACGAAUCUUUAAAAUGGAUAUUUUUAGUGAACCAAAACUAUGGAAUAAUCUGGAUGCAUCUCGAAAAUCAAUAUUAUCCUUUAAAAUAUCAUUGAAAUCUCAUAUAAUCAUGUCUUAAACACAUCAUUAUUUGUUACAAUCAUGUUUCUUUCCUUUUUAUGUAUCCUCAUAUUGCUUCUAUCUCUGGUUGAUGAUUAGUCUAUGUUCUAUUUAUGACAAUUCGUAUAUGUUUUGACCUUUCCCUACUCAUUUUAUAUUUAUAACCUGUCUAUGUCUUAGUUACUUUGUUGUUUGCACCCUAUGCCUUCACUGCCCUAUCGGAUUCAUUCCCUCCUUGCACUGUUUCUAAUCUGUGCUAAAUAAAAUAAAUAGAAAAAUAGAAAUAGAAAAACCUGUUCAGUGAUUCAGUACAGCUAAAAGAACUGCUGCGCCCAUCACUAUUGCUUUGGCCUACAUUAUGUUUUCAGCAGAGGCAGUAACACACACUCACAAACAGAGAAUGACACUAUGUUGAGAUUUGUCUUGCAUAUUGGUCAUGAAGCCACCACUCACCCAAGUCCCCAAAAUGUGCACUUAAUAUUAGGAUUUGCAGCUAUAUGAUACACAAGUCUUGCUUUUUGCUGUGCGUAUACUGCAGAUGCUUCAUUUGCAGUUUGAGCUUGCAGAGCAAAAAACACAGAUUUCUGCAAAGAUGGGUAUAAAACAGUCAGUGGAAAUACAGAAAGAUUAAAAAAAAACAGACAAAGAAAGGAUCAAGGUGUUCUUACUCAGCCGGUUUACAGCAUAUUGCAUCACUUGAUCAGUACUUUACUUACAGACAGUUCAAACAAUAAACAAAUUGUGGAUGGAAGUCAUCAUCCUAUCACUGCUGGAUCAAAGGAGCUGUAGCUCUUCAAUUUUCGAGUCAUGAAUAUUCAACGAGGGGCUCCAGGUUGGAGACACAAUGCAGCUUUGUGUGAAAACAGCGCAUUGUUAAGAAUCACAGAACUCCAUUUUUCGGGAGCUGCCACAUGAAAUAAAACUUUCACCAGUCCUGUAAAUCAAGUUGGGUUUUUUAAAGUUUCAGUAACCGCAUCCCGGUAUCUCCGAGGCAGCUGGAAGUUGUUAGGAGAUUACGAUCUGUCUAUUUUUAUGAUGACAGUUCUCACCUCCUCUUUGUUUCUGCACUGCCUACAGCCUCUCAUUCUGAAACUCUGAAAACUUCUACCACUACUGCAGGUUUUCUUGGAAUAAUCAUCUGAUUCUCACUGAGUCUGGGGCUGAAAUUUCUUUUACUCGCUAUAGGGGAUACAAACCAAGGAUUUAUUGGUUAUAACGUUUCAAUUUUUGCAGCUGUAAGUGGUUGUGCCAUUUUUCAAAAGGGGCAUUUUAUCUUAGCUUGUCACAUUCGGUCCACUCAUUAGGAGAGGGACAGCUCAGUUGUGUAACGCCUCCUGCGUCUCCCAGGGAGCUUUGUCACGUCUGGCGAAAUUGAUGAUGUCAUCUGGUUAUUUCCGCUUGUGCUUGAAGACACAUUUUUAACAACUAACCUACAUUACAAACCGAGGUCGUUUUGUUUGAAAGACAUGGGAGUUAAUGCAGAAUGCGUUAUAGGAAAUUGAGAAUCUAACAUGUUUGAGCUAAAGCAGCAGAGGGGACUGGACGCCACUGUAUUCAAGCACGCACUGAGUAAUUUUUGACCAUUCUUGUAAAUCCUCUCUGAUGGACCCUUUUGGGCUAAUGUCACAGUGACAUCAAGGUUUUAGCUGAAGGCUGAACAUACAAAACUGGGAAACAUGAAUCACCACCACAGUGUGGUUCACAGGUGACACAGGAGUCUAAAAAUGGCAUCUCAUUGUGUUGUUGGAUACCAGAUUGGUAAUAUCCUGAAACUGAAAGUCUUUUAUACAAUUUCAGCUGAUAUAAGUCAGAAAGCAGCAUUUUCCAGGCUCAAAUAUGACCUGUAUCACGGCUGUAAUUACUUUUUCAAAAGCCCGUUUUGGUCCCCUGCAGUUUUAACCAUCCGAAAACAAUGUUAUUUGACGCUAUAGCAAACCGAUAUACAUCAGGCACUAGCACCAAGCGGCCGCUCAAGCCUCAAGCGAGAACUGGUUUCCCUCGGUUUGGACCGCCCACAAUGUCCUUUCAUUAGCUCUGCUGCAGGGCGGCUUUUUUGUGUGAUUGGCUAUCGGUCAUUCCAUGUCCGCUGGACUAGUGUUUUGCAAGUUGCUUUUAAGAGUCAGUUCGUGAACAUCGCUAUUCGUGGAUGUAAGUUUACAGGAGGGCAGGGUCCUUUUUCCCUCCAUAACGUCGCAUUCAUCAUCCCUGUAUCCCCUCUGGCCGUAUUGCCUCCUCUGUUACUGUGUGUGCAAGAUGUGCUGUUUGCUAAGCUAUAUGUCUCAACAGUACCCAAGUUACAUGCCCCCCUCCACCCUACCUUUGAAAUCAAAAUUUUGUCCCCACAAGUUGGCAGUAUCAGCAAGACAGUCAGCGUUCAGGAGGGUGUGCACCUGUCAGCCAUUAACAAUCAAAGCGUGAGACUCCGCCUCCAUUGAGAAAGAGAAAAGCAAUGCCCCAGCCUUGACAUGUCCACUACUCAUGACAAUAGCGUGUCAUUUCCCUAAAAGAUCCUCAACAUCCUGUGCUGGUAAACAGGACCAGAUGGUUCCUCCUAUGGGACCACUUUGCCUCACUAAAACAGUCGCUAUCAAAUGGAAAAUUCAAAGGUCAAGUAAAACUCAUUUUGGUUAGAAAACCAACAGGCAACACCUCAGAGGAUACAGCAAUUUCUGCAGUUUGAAAGAAACUUUGUCUUUGUUUCAUUUCCUGUGAAGAGUUUGCAAUUUUAGAUAAUGAUCCACGGCUGAAUAAGGAACAGUAUUCAUCUUUGCGGAAAACAGCAAUCAAUUUAGAAAUGCAAUUUAAAAAACUGACCUCUCCAAGUCCCAAAAGGUUUGUUUUCACCUGUUCCUUUAAAGAUUUAAUUGAGUAGAAAUCUUCUUUUCCUUUCAUUGCAAUGAAAAAGCAGCCUUGCCGUUGUCUGUAUUUACCUUUUCAAGCAUACAGAUGAUUUUUCCUUUCAUUCCGACUGAAGUUAACCCUAUGUUGUGUUGUUGUGUAGCACAGCCCAUGAUGUCUAAGAAAAACUGAUUGUUUAUUCAGAGAAAGAUCAGGUUAGGGCAGAAAGGUGCAAAACAGAAAGUAGAGUUCAGCAAAAAUGCAUUCAAAGGUCAGAGAACAAUGUAGGCAGGAAAAAACAGAAGAGGAGGCCUCUUCUGGUGUGGGACAAAAGGGCAAAAAGUUGAGGCAGAAAGCCAGGUGAUGUGUAUUCAGGGAAGUUUGGGCUGAAUUAGGAGGAAGUUUGCAGGUAAGUCUUGGAGUCUGGCAGUGAGGAGAGACCAGACGUGACAAGGACUCCUGGAGGAUAGAGAGUAAAGACGGAAUCGAUUUAUGAUUACACAUUCACAACGAGAGAAAGACGAGAUCUAAAUGGACGAGCCUCAAUCACAGAAAGUAUUCAUGGGGAACUUGACCUUCCCAGUUGGUACUUGGCUUAUCUUCUUUCAAGCCCCAGUGUACAACAGAGUAAGUUGUUCUGUGAAAUUAUUUUAAUACAUAGAAACAACCGCUCUCUUUCUUUGCAUCAUCAAACAUUGCAGUGUGUUAUGUUAGACACUUGUUACCCCCAAUUUGUACUGCAUCCGGAAUGGCUACGAAGAGGCCGUAUUCGCUGAUCGCAGCUGAUCGUAACCAUUUAAGUUAAUGUGUCAAUUUCCACCGGCUUCGGCAGACUCCGCAGCCGAUCGCAAGAGUUCUAUUUUUUUCAGAUGCCGGAGCAUGCUGGACAAAUUCAGCACAGAUUAACCUGUGCUGGAAAGGAAGUCGUGCGCAGACAAAAAAUAAAACAUCCGGCUUCUUUUCAAAAUAAAACACUCCGUAUUUCAGGUAGAUCGUAUUUCACACCAUGCAAACAGGCAGAGACGAACAAGUAAGUGGAUUUCCUCCUCUGGAGGGACAUAAUCUACUGCUUAUAUGGUUAGCCUCUAUGGCUAGAGACAACUUGUUAUCGUGCAAUAAGUUGAAUCCCCAGGUUCUUGUGAGUUCUCAUGAUUCCUGCUGUCCGUAAUCUGCCAGGAAAUUCGCCUCAUAAACGGAUCUGGUAGGAAUUGGCGUAUGGCGAAAAUCGCCUCCGUUCUGGAUUGGAGCCAUUCUGGAAAUCCCGGGUUACACUGCGUUCUGUCAAGUUACAUUCUGUUACAUUGUGUCCUGCUUAUAUGCACUGUUGUGUUACACUUUUUAACCAUGCCCCAUUUUGUUACAUCCUGUGACACUUGAUUACGUUUCGUUACAUUAUGUAACAAUGUUACAUCCUAUAAUGUUCGGUAACACCCCAUCAUGUUACAUCCUGUAAUGUAAUCUAUAGUAAUCAUGCCUCCGAAAUGUAACAUCCUGUCAUGUAACACCUCAUAUGGUUUUGUCCAGUUAUGUAACAACCUCUAAUGUUGCACUCUUUUUUGUUACACUAAUUGUAACAACACAACCUGCAGCGACAGCCUGCAGUUACAGUCUGUUACAUCCUGAUUUUUUUUGUGAUGUCACAUUACAUCUUGCUUUUAGCACAAUUGCAUCAGAUCGCACUAUGUUACAUCCUGUUACAUUGACUUCUGUUAUGUAACAUGUAAUGUUGUGUUACAUUAUAUCCUUUUCAGUAACCUCCUGUUACAAAACAGUCUGCAACUCUGCACAUUGUUUUGUUUUGCCUCAUGAAUAUAACAUCCCAUUAUGUUACUACCUUUUCAGUUUUGCCUUGUUACAUUCUAGCCCGUUAUGUAACAUUUUUAACUGUCCUGUUACACUAAAUCCUCCUUCAAAAUAUUGUCAUGUUGUGUCCUAAUAUGUUUGACAGAAUUCUUUUUCAUCACUACCCAACAUGUCCUGUUACGUAAUGUCCUUUACACGUUACAUUAUAUUAUGUUACAAGCAGAGCCAAAGACAACUUAAGGUCUGUUUGUGUACUUCUGCUGAACUUUACACAAAAUUAAAACAAUAAAAGGUUGUGAAUUAUUUACUUGUCUUAAUGCUUAACAACCAUUAUGGCAGGGAAUACAAAAAUACAAACACUUGAAUAAUAAAUGUGAGCAUUGCUAUGAACCUAGAAUCACAAACAGAGUUAGAAGUAAGAUUUUUAGUAGUCAGCUUUAAAAUUUUGUGGUGCAUGAGGAAUUUUAAAAUACCCUCUGACUUGACACUCAGCAAACAUACCAAUGUGGGCAGUAGUGGACUUAAUUUUAUUCCAGUGUUAGAUGUAGAGAGAAAAAAGUGUCAUGUUAUAUUUGAUAAUUAUUAUCUUUAAUAUUGAUUGUCUGCUAAGUAAUUGUUAAUUCGCAGGAGUCUGUGACUAGAUCUCUUUGAUUUGUUGGCCCUCCAUCUUUAGACGUGGAAAGGAUUCUAACAUCAGUCCUUGAAAAGUCAUUGCUUGUCACUUGCAAAACAAUGGCUUUGUCCCACCUUUGCCUCUGGACAUUAUCUGCCUCUCAACAAACAUCAGAUAAUGAAUGGGAAACCGUUCCGUCACUUUCAUGUAAUACCGCUUUAUAGUAUUUUUAUAGAGCAGAAUUGUAGAUCAUUUCCUUUUUCACAUCUUAAUGACAGGCUAUAAUCUGAGAGAAAUUAUAAUCACCCCUUUCUGGAAACAAAUAACUCCUCAGAUAGAGCGCCAUAAUGCACUCAAAUUACAUUACAGCACCUUCCCUUGAAAAGCAAAUCUUGUCUAAAUAGCUUCAAUUAUUUUAAACUGCGCUGAGUGUUUGUUCAGAAAUUGCAUUUGCACAAGAAAUGAGGCAUCGUCGGGCUCAAGGACAUACACCUUUUGAAAGUAAGUUUGCUCUCCUUGGGAGCCGCUUUCACUUUAUCUAAAUGCUUUAGAAAACUACUGUAACUGCAGCAAAGUCGCUCCGUGUGUGCUGUCUUUGAGAGUAGUCUUAAUUAGAGUGCCAAUUGGAAGGAGACGGUCCAAUGGUUGAAUAUCCGCAACAAAGAAGUCUAUUAUUUCAAAGCGAGACCAGUGUGUUUCUUUAAAACUUCCAGCUGGAAUAAAGAGGAAAAGGCCUUUUUACUUCAACUGUUUGGCACCUUUUGAAAAAUUGGUAAAUUUAUUCCUUCCAGUCGUGUUCGAAAGCCAGUCUGCAACAAAGAUCAUCCCACCCACCCGCACGCGGGCACACGCAUACAAAAGGCACAAAAACCGCUUGUGCGAUACCACCCACUGAACAGGACAGCCGCGCGCAGGCAUGCAUGCACACGCUCACCCACACGAGCGUAGACAGGCAUGUACGCGAAGGCGCCCACUCAUCCGCACGUAGGCAAAUGUGUGUGUGCACGACCAAUCAAAGGGAAUGGUGGGCACCGCUCAGCUUUCAGGUGGAUUUCUUUAAAUUCACAGAGCAAAGAGAGGACAGGCAAAAGACGUUAUGUAUAAUCACCUCAUUUUAAAUACGUAUAUACCCGAAACGGAUAAUCCCAAACAGUCAUAUUUAACCGUUAUAAGGAACACAAUGUGGGAAAUUUUAAAUCUCAGUGACAUUAGAGUGAGCUUUGCAGUGGACAGAGGAGAGAGAGAGGAAAGGAAGUGGGAUUGAAGCGAGGAAGAAAGCAGGUAGGGAUGACCAAACGCCUGAUUUUCCCUUUUAUUGAUUUCUUCCGCCGCUCCGCGUGCCGUAUUUAUCUUCCGGCUGCACGCUGACAUUUACACAGGCAGACAUACAGUACAAACACACAUUUAUUACCAGCAAAGACCUCUUGGACAACCUCCAAUUCUUUGAAGCUUCCUCCAAACCUUGUCUACUUCAAACUAAAAUGCGUACAAGUGUGACUCGGUUUUAAUGUCCAAUAGUGGCAUGAAAUUGAAAUCUUUAAAGGUCAUUACCGGGCCGGCAGUUCAGCUGCCGGUACUUUUUCUUGGUGCCAAUGUAAUUCAUUUCACUGCGGGGAAAUCUGCCUGCCCAUUCAGGAAAAUAACACAAACAUCGCACACAGGUAUUCGGAUAAAUUCAACAACAGGCUGCGAUGGCGUACAGCCCUGAAAGUGGCGAAUGCCCCUGAAAGCCCUCAAAGUGGCGUCGAAGCAGCUGAAUAGAAAUUCUUGAAAUAUCUGUCAUAGUUGCUGGAAGUUUGCAACUCUCACCAAAGUGAAGGCGCUAUUGAGCGAAGUUAUUCACAUUACGAAGGACUGAGUGACUCCAUUUCUCUGCUCUUUUCAAAAGUCCUUCAACACUGUUUGUGCGGUCGACAGUCAAGCCGCCACAUUGUGUCUUUGCAUAUUCAGACUCUUACUCUUAAAAAUGAGCCUUCUAGAAAUGUUGAAAGAGCCUUAUUAAACUGUAGUUUCUUAUUUAUAAAGCAAUCAGUCCUUGUCUUGAGUGAAGUGCAAGAUUUGGGAACUGAAUGUUCUACAAAAGUCAGAAAAGUCACUUUUUUUGCAAUAGUUCAAGAAUGACUUCGAUUCUUUUGAUCUGCUUGGAAAAAGAACCGGGGCUUCACUGCUUUAAAAAUUAAACUCCUACUUAAUAUCAAAUACCCUGUUGAGUAGGGGGCUUACACUUUGGGGAUUAUCAUUAUCAUGAGAAAUGGAGCAUCAGCCAGUUUUAACCUACAUUUGUGGAUGAUGUGACCAAAUGUGUUCACAGUAAAACGGCUUUUGAAGCGAUUUUGAGCUCAUGCGGUGACCUCCACUGCAGAGUCAUGUCUAUUUUUAAUGUAGUGCAGCAGGAGAUCAUAACCAUCAAGUAUUCAUGUUCAGAUUUGUGCAGACAUAUCUCUAGAGUCUCUGAUAUUUUGUACCAUACAUUAAUGAUAACAUUUAAUUGUAUGUUUUAAUAGAUACAAAUGGAUGAUGAGAGUACGGAGCAGUCUUCCCGCUUGACUUUAAUUUAAAAAUACAAACGGCCAUAAUAUACAUUCUCCGACUGUGUGAGUUUGAGCUUUGUAGCCAAAAAAAUUCAAUAAUAAAUUUGGUCUUUGAGGUUAAAAGCUUCAUCGAGGGCAGAAAAGAGACAAUGAAAAAUUAAUUCCAGUGCAGCGUCUGGCUCCAUCACUCCCAAUAGCUUAUACAUUAUUAUUUAAGCAGCAGACUGCAAUCAAAUCUGCAUCUCUAUAGUGUAUUUCAUUCCAGCAAGGCCCCGUUAUAUCAAGAAGGAUGGAAGUGGAUGCCAAUAGCAAAUGGGCUUUCUCUUUUAUGGACUCUCCAUUUCCCCGUUCCAUGGAUGUUUAAGAGAGCUGAAUGCUAAUAAGAUGGCGCCCAUCUCAUCCCGAAGUGAGAUUCUCACUGGAAACAUAAUGCCAGAAAACUUCCACCAAGUCCUCGAGGCCUCUAUAUCUUUUCUGGGCCCUCUUUUGGCACCGAGAGUAUGAGCACUACAGUCCAUUGAGACUUCGAUGAGUGAUUUCCUCUUGGCUCCUUUCACACAUGAAUAGCAUACAAAUAACUGAUUGAUGUGACCCUUUGAAAUGGAUCUGGUUGCGCUGGAGGAACAGAUUGUUCGUGCAUAUGCUUUAGAGUGUAAUGCAAUGAAUGACAAUGUGUAAUAAUGCUUUUUGGCUCAUUGUGUCUCACUUUUUUUUUAUCAAAUUACAACUCUGUCCAUGUGUUGGAUCAGUUUGAAAAUGCCGACUCAUGGAUAGUUGAAAAAUGUGGAAAUACUACAUGUGAAGGUUGACGUUUAAAAAUGUUAAGUUAAGGUCCUUACACAAUGGGAACGUUUUUUUUUUUGUGCAGUUAUUUUGGACGUCAAAAAUUUUUUUUGGAACCCGUAUCCUGUUAAUACAAACGUUCACAUCAGCGAUGUUUUGCCGUCCUGCGAUAUUGCGGCAUUUAUUUUUCGUAUCACGGUCGACGUUUUAAAGUUUCACAUACUGUGUGUCCACUUCUGACCAAUCAGAUUGUGUGUUGUUGCGACGUCUGAUUCACUGGUAAAUUCAACAUGGCCGACCGGCUGAUUGUUUACAUGUUGGAGAACAGACACAAACAUUACAAAGAUAACGACCUGAAGGACAACUUGUGGAGGGUCACGAUGGUUUGUGUGCUUUAACAGUUUGUUAAACGUCUUUGUUUUAACUUUCAUCUGUGCUAAGUAACUUUAGCUCGUAAGCUAACCUGUUCAGAUAGAACAUACCAUAUGUAUUUUCACUGUCUCAAACUCAAUCGUGUUGCUGUCACAGCACCAUUAGGUCUCGGUUGUUACCUUACGUUUAUGGAUUAUAGUUUAAUGUGCUUAUUAGGGGGUUCAUGUUUACCCCCUUUGGCACCCCUUCAUGGAUUUGCAGCACCUUCUGAUUUAACUAAUUGGGUUCUGCUAAGAAAGUUGGAAACCACCCAAAUUGUUCUUUAGCAAGACAUAGACAAGACGAGUAGGCCUAUCAAGUCACCUAACCUUGAGUGGGAGUGGGAACUUAGCGGGUCAAAAUGGGUCAAAUAACAAGAUUAAAAGGUCCAAAAUUACCACAAGACGUCACACUGCUGAGGAGGGACAGAAAAACUGACAUCUUGGGUUGAAAGUAAAAGGUUGGCUCGCCCAGGUAUGUUCGACUAUUUGCCUUAACUGUCAAAACGUAAAAACUUUGAAAAUGUUUGGCUUCAUACAAAACGAGUGGCUGUACACACGUUCUCUGCUGUGUUUUCUGUUUCCCAACCACUUCUGCCUUGGACACUAUUUGUCUGUAAGUCAUGUAUGAAUAAUGUUGCCACUUUAAGACGGUUUUGAGUAUAUUAUGCGAACUGACUUAUGUUUUGUUUCAGUUUUACAAUUCAAGGAAAUCAAGUUAAAUACAUGAAAAGUCAAGCCUUGUGUUGUUAUUGGAGGACUCCUAAGAUGUUACCCGGCUGUCUAGCUUUGCAUACAAGUACACAGUACAGUAGAAUUGUACUUCCACUUCAUCAUACUCUUGAAGCAGUACUAUCUAAGGUCCUAAACGCUCUCCAAAGGACCCUCAAUUGGUCCAGCACUUGCAAAUAAUGAGCGUUUAGGGGCGACUACUAAACUUUGCUGUUAUACCUGCUUGAAUAACUUUGCCUACACAGAUAAUGUAACAAAAUCCUCCUAUCAUGUAGAAAUGUGUGCAUAAAUAGUACAGUAUAUAUAUAGAUUAAUUGGAGGGACUCUGUGUUUCAAUCCCUGAGCCUCUGCUCUGCAAAUGACUUGCGUGGGAUUAUUCGAGGAAAUAAAUGACAGCUAGGCGGCUCACCUGACAGCGCGCUUUCUGAGGUGAGAAAAUGUCUCGUAUUCACUCAUUGUAGUCUUUAGUCUAUCUCCGUAAUAAGACCCAGAGAAGGUGCCGCAAUCUAAUGUGCCGAAACUCCAUAAUCAACUCUCUGGUUGACCUACAUUUGAUUCGUCCUGGAGAUCAGGAUCAGACUUCCGUAUCAUCGGUUUAAGCUUCUCGGAAUAUCUUGGCCGUCAAUCACAGGACAUGCUUGGCCAAGGCAGGCUCAGACCUGGAUGUGUAUCACGGAUAUUUCUCAGAUAGUCUCUUGGCCACCAAGACAGUGUCCCUUCAUUUCAGCCACAGCCGGCGCUCCAUUUGGCGUACUCGGCGAACCCUUUGAUUACUGUCUUGCAUGUCUGAGUGUAAUGAAUUUCCCUGGCAUUUACUCACUGCCAACAGCACUACCUAAUUCUGUAACCACCAAUGUUUGUCUGUGUAUGGUCUGUUGUUUUUCACUGAGUCUGUUGUGCAGUGGCAUUUACAUCUCAUUUCAGGAAGUCUCGACACACUGCUACUUCUCUUUCCAAUCCUGUGUGACUUCAGUCGUUACACGCCGCCUUAAAUGUACGCUUUUUUAAAUGUUUUAUUUUUGUAGUAAUUGUGGAGAGUUGUUCGCUAUCAGCACUCUUUGAAGGCCGGUUCAUGAAACUUCGAAACUUUCUCAAAACUCAAGAAGUUGUUGGAGAACGAGGCCCUCUGGUCUUCAAAAUUGCGCACUUAAUUUCACUUGAUUUGCAAGAAAAAAUAUGGAAUAAAAACACUUAAGUAUUCAACAAAACAUCCUAAGUGCUACACAUAUAUAAAUCCAGACAAUCUCAGCAAGGUUAACUCAUGUUUCAUUAAGUAAACUACGUUCCUUUAUACUGCGCUGUUACACUCAGAGUUAGCAGUUAAAAGUCUUGUUGGGGUCCACACGGAUCAGGGAUUGACCAUCGGAUUGUUCUGUGUUCCUGAUCAAUCCAUAACAAGGAAGUAUUUCUCAUCUACUUGAACUUGUACACAGUAAGGGGUCCGCAUAUGGUGUUUUAUUUUGAAAUACCGGAUGACAUGAACGGUUUUAAUGCUUGACUUCCUAUCUAGGACGAUCUUCUCUGUGUGGAUUGGCGCGCAUUGGAAGCGUAGAGCAGCAAAAUUAGACUCGCUGCGUAUCUUUAUUUGAGCUGCUCUCGAUACGCUGGUGCCACACUCCAAAUACGCGUCCUGUAUGUUUAAACCUUAACACCUAAAUCCCAACAUCAGGGAUAAUUUACAGAUUUUAACGCUCUCCUUUCUGUAUGUCUUCCGUCGUUUGUGUAAUUUCCUUGCAAUGUCAGACACUGUUAAAACCUCUAAUUUGGAAAAAGUAAGUAAAUUCAUAACGCCAUGUAUGCCACAGUCACUCGUGUCAUAUCCCACCAUGACAUGGAUUUUGCCCUACAACUGCCGGGUCGAACAAGCCUUCAUGUUUUCGCACAGACAUUUUUGGUUCGGCUGCACAGACGACAGUCCCUGAACACAGAUGCAGCCACAGUGAGGGGUACAGGAAAGCAGUUAAAAGAGUAAUUGGUGAGUAGCAAGAAUGUAGAUUGGAUCCUGGUCUUCUUCCUGUUCCGCUCUGCAUCUUCAGACACUUCAGAGCCCCGUCUCCCUCCCCUCUCUACCACAGUUAUCGGGCAAACUUGCGUUCUUAUCUCUCUAAGUUUGAUAGCAAUUAACAGCGCUGCGGGGCUUUGUAACUCAGUCACGAUGACUUAGAAGUCUGUUUCAACCAAGUACUCCGUUGUCUUGAAGUGAAAAUGAUUAAAAGGAGCAGGCUUUGACUCAUAGUUAAAGCUGUGACAAUUGAUAAUAUAACGCCUCAGAAUUUUGCUAAUUGUAGCUCCACUGAAGUAAAUUUAAUAAAUCGUUAGCUUAAUUUUUCUUUUGUUUUUUCAAAAUUAAAGGCUCCCCAUCCAGAUGCCAGAGCUACUCAUGAUGUGGGCGUGUAUGCAACACCAAACCAUCAUGGCUUUUGAGGCAUGCCAGGUAGUCCCUCUCUUGGCAUCCAUGAUUUCCAAGAAGAAUGUUAAAGGCAUGGUUGCCGAUUGGAGAGAUUGGUUAUUAUUAUGAACCUAGUUUUUAUGGCGAUCAUGGUCCUAUAGUGCGAUCUCCACAAAGUGAAGAGAAAAAAGAAUGGAAAAAAUCUGUUCACCCUAGCAGGGCUGCAAAAACACUGACCAAUGGGAGCCAGCUGUCCCGGACAGCUCCCAUUGGUUAUUCUACUGCUCCGCCUCUUCAUCCAAUCACCUCGCUGUAUUUGACACACCACCUCCUGUAGUUCCGACUCAUUCCCUCCCACUCUCUCCGGCUGAACCGCUAAAAGUAGCGUAGCAGCUUAGCUACAGGAGCCGUGAUCGAGAAGGACCCGAAAGAACGAACACUCCUGCUUGCCCCAUCACCAAAAGUGGAGAGAAAACGCAAGCUGACAGAAAAAAGGGCAGAGACGAAGAGGAAAUUUGACCAAGUGAGGAAUCUUAACCCGAAAAAACAUGGGGUCAUCCUUCAAGCGGUGGAGAAAGCUUUGACUGACACAACAGCAGACUGACUGUUUUUCAGUUCUGAUUGGACACUAGUGUUGAGAUGUCUGUCUGUCAUGAUAGCAUGUACUGAGUCGGGGCCAGUACCAGAUAAGCACAUUAAACUAUAAUCCAUAAACGUAAGGUAACAACAGAGACCUAAUGCUGCUGUGACAGCAACACGAUUGAGUUUGAGACAGUGAAAAUACAUAUGGUAUGUUGUAGCUGAACAGGUUAGCUUACGAGCUAAAGUUACUUAGCACAGAUGAAAGUUAAAACAAAGACGUUUAGCAAACUGUUAAAGCACACAAACCAUCGUCAUAUGAGAAAUCCGACGCUAUGACUCACCACGGGUUAUCCUUCAGGUCGUUAUCUUUGUAAUGUUUGUGUUUAUUUAUCGAAAAGCACUCUGUUCUCCGACACGUAAACAAUCAGCCGUGGAGUACAGAGGGGAGAGGUUUGUGUGUGGGGGGGUGGAACACUUUUUCCAAAUCUGCCUCAACAGCUCAGUUUUUUUCAACUGCUUCUCAGAUCGUCAACCAUGUCUUUAAAUUUUGAUUCAAAGAGCGGUCAUGAGAAAUUGCUAGCAAACGUAGCUACCUCUUGGGCAGCACAUAGAACGUCAAACGCAUCGCUUUCCAUAUUUAACACCAUGACUGCCUCCUCAACUUCAGAUUUAUAUUUCUUCAUAAAAAGCCACUAAAUGAUGAUUUUACCGAGCCUGUUGUCUGUGAGAGUGUGAGAAUACAUUUAUUACAGGAGGUAGUGUGAGUUACAAGCUUCAGCAGAGGCAGCUCGCUGAGAGACGCUGAUGUUUUAAAAUAGCCUGACUCACGAGGAAGGAGAAAGACACUAUCUGUCAGAUCAAGUGCGCUCCAUUAGAAACCAUUAGCUUUCAUUUGUCUGUUUUUCUUCUCCUAAGGGGCUCUUUCCACACACCCAAACUCCCCCUCCUCGCUGGAAAAACCUCCCUUACUUGACUCCAGGGUGCAUCUUUGUGCAUCUGCAUGACAUCAGAGAGUCCCUCAUCUUUGUUUUGCUCUAUCUCUAUGUCUUAUUCAUCUGUUUAUGUUUUAAUAAACAUGACAUGAGCGCUCUUCGGGGCCAUUUUGGGUAUUCGGGUUGGAAAUGUUUUUGUGUUUGUUUCAAUUUUUGGAAUUACUGCUGUUGCCUAGCAUCCGUAUCAAGGUUUUAUCCGGCUUUGGGAAAGGUAAAGGGACUCAUUCUUGUAAACAGCGAUGACGUACGACAACCCGAACAUUUGAAUAUCAUAUUUUUAUUAAGUGCGGCUAGAUUUUACCCCCCUCCAGACCAGAAAAGCAUGUGUGUGUCUAGCGGUGACAAAAAAAACAUGACUGCACUCCUGCUGAUGGAGUAGUUCCUUUCAUAAAUCAUGAGUACAUCUCAUAACUUCAAGACUCUGGGAAUAAGACGCACAUUGAGACGGCGUCUGUGUGUGCGUGCAUGUGUUUUCCGUCUCCAGAUUGAAUUCUUAAUCUUGCCAUUCGCCGUUUCAUCAGUUGUUGUGGGAAAUGAUGCAUCACUCCCUGGAUGUCAGAUAUAAUAACAAUACUCUCCGAUGUCAGAUAUCUUCCUGCUGAGCGCCAAUAAGACAUAAUUAAAAAAUCUUUGCUAAACUUUCAAACGCAUAAACAAACACAAGCACAUGGCGGACGUGUGUUUAUGAGUUCUGGAGCGUCACCCUUAUGUGUGACAGAAAUAUGGCGGGGUGAUACAGUAUUCUCAGAAACUGACACAUCACCUUCAGGCAGGUUUCUGCUCGACUGCUCCCAUGAGAAAUAUUGUCCCUUCUUUUUUUAUUUCUCUUACAAAUGAAAAAAAAAAGAGGGGAAAGAAAAAUGUUCCUGGAGCUGUAAUUCGAAGCAUGAAUCAUUGAUGAAUGGCCCACAUCCGCCAGUCGCUGGUGGUGACACAUUGUUGUACUUUCGGUGCCAGGGCUGCACUUUCAUUUCAUCAAAUGAAGACAGAUUUCUGACAUCGUGCUCUCCCAUUUCAAAUCUCCAAUCACCUCAGACCCCCAACUCCUGAGGUAAUUGAAGAAAUACAGUCUUUCUUGAGCCAGGGCAGGUGUCAUAUGUUUCCUUGUUCCUGGCUCCGGACCCGUUUCAUCAACCGCUCUAUUUUGGCGUUUAAUCGGCGGAACGUGCAAUUGACAGACCCUUUUGUAAAGGAAGUCUUUUCUGGAAAGGUCAGGUAAGUUCACUGAUUUGAAACACGGUGGAACUGCUUUUUUUCAUUCUCAUCUAUCUUUAAAUUGACCCCAAACCCCCUAAAGGCGGCAUAAACCUCCACGUCCACAAUGUUCUUUCUCAGCAGCUGAACAUAAUAUGUGGCCAAUGUAGUCAGUGUGCCAAUGUUUAAAAUGAUGACACUGGUUGCACCCAAUCUUAGAACCUAUUGGGUGUAGUUUGACGCUUUAUAGCCUCUGGUACCAAGUGACAACUUUUCAUGGCAUCCUGAUGAGGUACUCCAAGAUUUAAACUUUCUUGUGCAGCUGUAGUUCACAGUCCAACUAGCAAAGUGAGCGGCAGGGAAGUAGUUGGUGUGGCUACCUGGAAGUAUGCUGAUAUAUGUGUUAAGACACCCCACUUCCAAAGUAGUGAGGAAACAGUGUAAAAAACACAGAUUUUGAUCGAUUGCAAGUCAAUUAAACUAUUUAUUUUAUUUAAAGUAGUGCAGUAACAAAAUAUAGAUCAACAUCAUCUGGGAGCCAUUCAUUAUACACAAUUUUUUAUUUUUAUUUUUUGUAUUUCUCUUAAUGAAAAGAACAUAAAAUUAUUCACCAUAAUACAUACAUACAUAUAUAUAUAUAUAUAUAUAUAUAUAUAUAUAUAUAUAUAUGUAUAAAAUAACUUCAUACACACACACACACACACACACACACACACACAUAUAUAUAUAUAUAUAUAUAUAUAUAUAUAAUAACUUCAUAAAAAAAAUUUUUAAAUCGUCAGAUUAAUCGGUAAUAGAAUUUUUUUCCCAUCUAAUAAUCGGUAUCGGCAUCUGCCCCAAAAAAUCCAUAUCGAUCAUGCCCUAAUACAUACAUACAUACAUACAUAGAUCAAAUGAAAUACUAGCACUGUACCAUGACAUAUGUACAUUUAAAAAAUUAAUAAAUAAUAAAUAAUAAACAAAUCAUGGAUUUAAAAGAACAUUUCUCUCAUGAUCUAUUUUAUAACCCACAACCAAACUACGGUUAAUGUACACUGAGGCAAAGGAAGACUGCAUCAAAUCAAAACCCGACAUUUUUCUUGGAAAUCAUGGACACAAAAGGGGACUCCCUUUUGCAAAGUUUUUUUUUUUUUUUUUCUUUCCUGAUUUAAUAAAGAAAAAAGUCCAGACUUGUGUAAAAAAGACAGGGAGUGUAGUUACAUACAUUUUUGAGUUAAAAAAUAAAUGAGUAAAUCUAGAAGCCUAUGAUAUGUGUUUAAUUAAGAGUGGCCUUCUGGUUGACAUUUCUACCAAGAGUUUAUUUUCUUCAACUCAGAAUAAUCUUGUCGAAACUGUUAAUUUGUUUCUUGGUCCAACUUCAAAUUAGAAAUGGCAAAAAUGAAACCCUUGAAAAAAUGAACAGUAACUUUGUUCCAAAAGUUAGAUGGAUGUGAAAUAGAUUGUUAGGUUGAUAUUAUCUUAAUGAUGGAAAGGAAGCUUCCAAUUCCUCCCAAAAAGAUAGUCUUGCCAAUUCAAAUUUAUUGUUGCUUCUGUAAUUGAACGAGGCAACUUAAUUUACUGUGCAGCACUUUGGAGCGCUUUGUUUGAUAAAAUGUAAUUAAGUGGAUUGAAUUGGAUUGGAUCUUUCAGAUGAAUUAAGAAACAGCCCUGUGGGACAUAAUAUGGAUUAAACAAACAACUUUAAAAAAGGUCAGACAUCUUUUAGAAAUCACUUGUAGACACUUUUUUGAAAAAAAAAAAAAAAAGAUUUUCCCUGUAUCAUUAAAAGUUUAAAAGUUUAAACAUAUAUCACUGCCUAAAAAUUACUUUUUCCUCUUUAGAUUUCUUUUAAAAACACUUUUUUUUUUUUUAAAAAGCACAUCCACUCCUUUACCCUCAUUGAAAAAUCCAGAACCCAUGAAUAUAUAAAUAUCUUCAGUUCCAAAAGUUUUACUCCUGGAUAUGUGAUGUCUCCUUCUUCAUUAAAAAGUUAUAAUAGUCAAAAAGUUCAUUCUCACAGAGUAUGCACCAUUAGGCUUUAAGCCUCCGCUGCACACUUACAUAUUGGACCAUGGCAGGCGCCCCCCCCCCGAACAGCUGUGAUGAUACGAAUCCUGAUUGUCUGUACAUAUUUUAACUCAAGUCAAGCAGAGAAACUUCCCCCUGGAGCAGAUGAAGUCUAAAAUAGAGACAUUGUUCCAAAAAGUAUAGCUUGAACAUUUAAAAAAGAAGAAACUACCUUUUAAAUAAUGGUCUACGAAUGCAUUUUCUCAAAUACUGACUUUGUACAUGAGUGAAGUUUCACUUCUGCAGGUAAUAAUGGCGAACAACAUGCCCAAAACGACGGGUGGUCCAGUUAACAAGCAACUUCGAGCCUGUUUUCGCGACGAAAACCAGACUCGGAUUAGGGUGGCACAGUAAGAUUCAAAUUGUAAAACAACCACUUAAAAUCAAGGUUAAUAAUACUGUUUACCCAAAAAUAUAUAAUUACUGCAACAUGGGAAUUUCCCUUGUGAUAGAAAGCAGCAAAACGUGUUAAACUUCUUAAAAAAAAAAGAAGAAUAACCGUGUGUUUGUGCACAGAGUAAUAUGCGUUCAUCAGCAGGGAAUUCGAGGGUACCUGGUGGGUCUCAGCUCAGCCCUGUCCCUGUUUCUGCCCACUAUGUCUUUGGUUGAUUUAAUUUUCUUUACAAGGACGAAAUUCUCAAUUUUAUCAGACCUUUUCAUUUUCUUUCAUUUCCUUUGCUACUUUUCCUCCUGUGUGUCACCUGCCUGCCCUUUAAAAAUAAUCAUGAAAACAUUUCGAUUACUCUGUCAAGUCAAAAACACUUUUGUCAACACUGAAAAAGUUUUUAGAAAUCCUGGAAAAUACAGCUAACUACUAUAAAAUGAAUGGCUUGAACACUGACAGUACAUUCUACGACUUAGUAGAAGUACUGUGUCCGAAACUUUAAUGUCCUUAAUUUGUUUGACUACACUAUACAACGCGAAAUUACGAAAUAUUCAGAGGCGGAUUUUGAUGCGCCUGACUAUACACAUCAAGCGCAAUGCGAUUUUGUGACUUUCUGGGGAGAAAAAAAGACGUGUCCCGGGUGAAAGCGAGAAGACUGACACAACACCAGACUGACAGUUUUUCAGUUCUGAUUAGACACUAGUGUUGAGAUGUCUGUCUGUCAUGAUAGCAUGUACUGAGUCGGGGCCAGUACCAGAUAAGCAGAUUAAACUAUAAUCCAUAAACGUAAGGUAACAACAGAGACCUAAUGGUGCUGUGACAGCAACGCCAUUGAGUUUGGGACAGUGAAAAUACAUAUGGUAUGUUGUAUCUGAACAGGUUAGCUUACGAGCUAAAGUUACUUAGCACAGAUGAAAGUUAAAACAAAGACGUUUAGCAAACUGUUAAAGCACACAAACCAUCGUCAUAUGAGAAAUCCGACGCUAUGACUC
rnacentral:lncRNA from 1 species